rnacentral:lncRNA from 1 species
AAAUUUUGUGCUACGUCAGCCUUAGUCUCUACAGAAUAAAUGCUAAUAAUCCGGCAGCUUCCGCAGGAUCGCCGCUGCGAGCGCGUCGGUGAAAUUUCUGUCGCCGGUGAGCUCGCGGGCCAUCUGUUCCACCAACGCCCUCUGGAAUUCCGGCGACGCGACCUCUCGGCACACCUUCUUCAGGUCCGGCUGCGCCUCCCCUGCUGCCUCGACGACCUGCAGGCCUCCCCCGUCCUUGGUGAGGUCCAGCGUGAUGGUCGGGCCGGAGGAGUUGAUGGAGAUGGAGCACGGCACCGAGCCGCCGCUCGACGCUGUUGCCGGGCUUGCAGGAGCUGACGCUCCAGGUGGCCGUCUUGGCCAUCUCCUACAGCACGUCCUCCACCGUCAGCUCCGGGCAGCCCUUCAGCCUCCCCGCCGCCGGCGCCNGCUAGUCCAGGAGGGAUGUGGAUAAGAAGACCUUGACCACGGGGAGGGGUGUUUCUAUAAAAACGAAACGUUUUUUAACUAAACAAAGGACUGCGGGUUGAUUUCAACAAAAUACAGGGUUUUUUUUGCAAAAUUGCCACGACGGACGGCAGAAGCGAUGCGCUCUUUAUUAUUAGGGGAGAUUAAUUAGUCUUCGUAUUUACACAUUAGUACUAGAAUUCCUUUAGACGUAGCACUUUUAUUCCGUAAAACAGCUUGGCCCUGAUUUUUCAAAUAGCCAUAACUUUUUACUCGUUUAUCCGAAUUAGAUGAAACCAACGCCUAGAGUUUCGACUUGAUCCCACCUAUCCUGUGAACCUAUCAUAUCAACUUUUUGAAAUUUUUAAAUUUCGAAAUUUGUUCAUAUUCAUAUUCAAACUUUUUUUGCUCAUAUCUUUUUAUCCGUUGCUCCGUUUUAGAUGAAUCCAAUUGCGUCGGAUUCGUAUCAAAGUAAUCUUCCCGUUUGUAUCAUUAGUUUUAAAUUUUCAACUUAUAAUUUUGAUCAAAUCAGAUUUAUCUAUUAGUGCCCAAAAGUGUUCACAUCGUUCUAAGCCGAUUAAAUGUUAUAUUGAAGUAUUUGUAUCUUUUGAUCCGCUAUUUCAAAUCUAGUAAUUCUUUUUUCUACACGCUCAUAUUGAUCUACUAUAUCCAAUAGCAUCAUUAGUUUCGACCUUUGAACCUUACAAAUUUGAGCGAUUCAAAUUUGUAUUCAAACAUUCAUUUGAUCUUAUCUUGCAAAUCGUACCACCUUUUCAAUUGAUUCAUUUCACCCCUAAACACUCAUGUCAUAUAUAUUUGUACAUAACCAUCGUACUUCAGUUCAACUUCUCUUGACCUUUUUAAUGCAAAUUUAAUUCAUACUUCAAUUCACUAUAACUUGCGUUGUACUGCUCCAUUUCAAGAAAUUCUUUCUACAAAUAAAUUCUUAUGCCUUAUACUAUUUGUCAAACAACAUUCAUGUUGUUCUCCCAAUAUUUUUGAUCAUCUCCCAUAGUGUAUGCAAGUCGAGCUUAUAUAGCAAUGGUUCCUCGUCCAUUAAAUCUUUUGAUCUCAUUCAUGCACCUUCACUUUACAACACACUUAGGACCUUUUAAUUAAACCUUAGUACGUUGUUAUUUUGCACCAAGACAUGCUUUGUACUUAUGUUCUCUUGGUUCUUCCUCUUUGGCAUGAAUAUUUAUUGAAUGCUAUUUGUUUACGAUAGAUUGCUCGGAGUGUGGCGAGUAGAAUUAUCAGGAUUAUGAGAGCGACUAUCUUCAUCAAGUAAUACCAGGCAAGUCACUUUGAUCAUACUAUCACCUAUGUUUUAUGCAUCGUAGUUCUACCAUCCUAUGCCCAAUUGCAUGCUGAGUAGGUACUUGGAAAUUUUAGUAUAGAUUGUAGUAUCAUGUGGUAGGCACACAACAACCCCGAUACUUGGCCCCGGGACGACAAAGUUCAUAUUGCUAUGCUUGAGUAGACGGGAUUUCAGUUGAGUGCAUAACACGAGUGAUGCGAGGUUGAUUAAAUAAUCAAGACCGGUUAAGACAAGAUUUUCAAGACCUCGGACGCAAUGCAACUCUGGGUGAAGGACGGUUGAUCGGCUCCCUGGAGAACCCAGUGGAUGCCCGGGAUGCUGGGGACGGCCAUGACAUCCUGCGGAAAGCUUCACCCAGGCUCAAAGAGACGGACGAAUAUUUUCAAGACCCAAGGCUUACCUGCACAGCCACAAGUCAUUAUGGGCUCUGGCUUGGUUGGACAACGCGGCGACUCUGGACAGGCGGUGCUAGUAGAUGUAGACGAACGGUAGGAAUGGAUGGGCACCGACAGGGAUUCAGAGGGACCCGUUGAAAGACCAUGUUUUGAUCAUCCGGUCUUCAAACACCCUGAAGUGCGAGGACAUACACGGAGGCGAUCAAAUCUUGUGGGGAACGUGUGCAUAACUCUGCAGAGUACUUAAACCUAAUCGAUUAGCCGUGUCCACGGUCAUGGACAACUUGAGCCAAAGGAACGGAAGUUAUCUGGAUUUCUCAACACCAUUAAAUAUAUCUGAUGAGGGUAAUAUUGAUAACUCGGGUAUGAGAACUGGUUGGCGGAACCAUCUCAUUAACAACCAACAGCGUAGUAAUAUUUUGCUUUUAGCCUCUCUUGAUGUAGGAGAAAACUUGCUUUUCGCUAAAAACUUAUAGCCCCACCUACCAUAUAUGCAUAUAGUAUAGAUGAUUACUUUUCACCCCUCUCUUAUGUGACUUGCCGGCAUAUUCAAUAUGCUGACCUACACGGCUGCGACGUCUUAUGUUGCAGAUAUUUUUCUUCGACGAGUAAGAGUACGAUUCAGGGUUACGGUCUACACUCAACUUGCCGUUGGUGUUUAUUGGGACUCCACUCCCUUGACUGCUUCCGCUGAGAUAUUUAAGGUAUAUAUCAGUCUUACGCUAUUUACAUGUGAUUGCACUUUGAUAUAUACAUUGAUGUACUGUGUGUGCCAGCAUACUGAUCCAGGGAUGGCACAGAAACACAGAGGCUUGACUCGUGUUGAGUCGGGUCGCUACAUGUACUCGAUAUUGUUUCUUCGGAAAGUGCACCGUAUGCUCAUUACCGUUGACAUGGAACGUGACAUUGCCUUUGUUGCAAUCUAUAACAGCCCCUGCAGUGUUUAAAAAGGGUCUUCCGAGGAUGACCGCCAUGGCAUCAUCCUUAGGAAUAUCCAAGAUAACAAAGUCUGUUAAGAUGGUGAUGUUAGCAACCACAACAGGCACAUCCUCGCAAAUGCCGAUAGGGAAAGCAGUUGAUUUGUCGGCCAUUUGCAGAGAUAUUUCAGUGGGUGUCAACUUAUCCAGUUCAAGUCUACGAUAAAGAGAGAGAGGCAUAACACUAACACCGGCUCCAAGGUCGCAUAACGCAGUUCUAACGUAGUUACCUUUAAUGGAGCAAGGUAUAGUGGGCACACCGGGAUCACCUAGUUUCUUAGGAGUUCCACCCUUGAAGGUAUAAUUGGCAAGCAUGGCGAAGAUCUCAAGAUCAGGUAUCCUCCUCUUAUUAGUCACAAUAUCUUUCAUGUACUUAGCAUACGGAGACAUUUUGAGCAUAUCUGUCAAACGCAUUUGCAGAAAGACAGGUCUGAUCAUUUCAACAAAUCGCUCAAAAUCCUCAUCAUCUUUUUCUUGGAUGGUUUGGGAGGAAAGGGCAUGGUUUUCUGAACCCACGGUUCCCUUUCUUUACCAUGCUUCCUAGCAGCGAAGUCAUUCUUAUCGUAUCUCUUAGUCUUAGGGUGUGGGUUAUCAAGAUCAACACUAGGUUCAAUCUCCACAUCCUUAUCAUUGCUAGGUUGAGCAUCUUCAUGAACAUGACUAUUGAUAUUAUCAUUAGGCUCAUGUUCAUCACCAGAUUGUGUUUCAGCAUCAGAGACAGAGGCAUCUUUUGGACUCUGAGGGGUAGCAGCAACAGGGUUGCUAGCGUGCAGGUUCCUGUCAUCUUUCUUCUUCUUUCUAGGAUGACUAGGUGCAUCAGUGCUAACUCCUUGAGAAUCUUGUUCAACUCUCUUCGGGUGACCCUCAGGUUACAAAGGUUCCUAGGUCAUUCUACCGCCUCUAGUAACGACUCUGACAGAAUUGUCAUUCAACUCAUUGAGCAAGUCAUUCUGAGCUUUAAGUACUUGUUCUACCUGAGUAGUAACCAUAGAAGCAUGUUUACUUAGAAGUUUAAUAUCAUUGACAUUUCUGUCCACACAAGCACUUAAAUGACUAAGCAUACGAGCAUUCUUUUCCAAUUUUCUGCUAACAUAAUCAUUGAAACUCUAUUGUUUGGCAACAAAGUUAUCAAAUUCAUCCAUGCAUAGGCUAGCGGGUUUAUCAAAAGGAAUAUCACUCUCAUCAAACCUACGCAGAGAAUUUACUUCUACUACCUGUAUCGGGUUAUCGAGACCAUGGAUCUCUUCGAUAGGUGGUAGAUUUUUGACAUCUUCAGAUUUAAUGCCUUUCUCUCGCAUAGAUUUCUUGGCUUCUUGCAUAUCUUCAUGACUGAGGAAUAGAAUACCUCUUUUCUUUGGAGUUGGCUUAGGAGGUGGUUCGGGAAUAGUCCAAGCAUUCUCAUUGCACAAGAUGUUAUUCAAUAGGAUUUCAGCUUGUUCUACAGUUCGUUCCCUAAAAACACAACCAGCACAACUAUCUAGGUGGUCUUUCGAAACAUCAGUAAGUCCAUUAUAGAAGAUAUCAAGUAUUUCAUUCUUCUCAAGAGGGUGAUCACACAAAGCAUUCAGUAGCUGGAUGAGCCUCCCCCAAGCUUGUGGGAGACUCUCUUCUUCAACUUGAGCAAAGUUGUAUAUUUCGUGCAAGGCAGCUUGCUUCUUAUGGGCAGGGAAAUAUUUUUCAGAGAAGUAGUAGACCAUAUCCUGGGGGCUACGCACACAACCAGGAGCAAGAGAAGUGAACCAGGUAUUAGCAUCAUCCUUUAGCGAGAAACGAAACAGCUUGAGCAUAUAAUAGUGGCGGAUCUUUUCCUCACUAGUGAAUAGGGUGGCUAUAUCGUGCAGUUUGGUAAGAUGGGCUACAACCGUUUCAGACUCAUAACCGUGAAAAGGAUCAGAUUCGACCAGAGUGAUUAACUCAGGGUCGGCAGAGAAUUCAUAAACCUUAUCGGUCACAAAGAUAGGCGAAUUGGCAAACUUCGGGUCAUAUUUCAUCCUAGCGUUCACAGAUUUUUCUUUCCACUUGCGCAGAAGUUUCUCAACAUCAUAGCUAUCCUUACACGCAAGAAAAUCUUCAGCUAUCUCUCCCUCCAUAACAUAGCGUGUAUCAGGCAUAACAGGGAAUUCAGGCAUAGUAGCAGGUUCUACUUCAAUAGUAUCAGCAGUUUCAGAAGUAUCAUCACAUCUAGCGGCAGCUCUAGCAAUAUGUGCAUCAAGGAAUGCACCAAGUGGCAAAGCAGUAUCAGGCAUAGCAGGCAUAGUAUCAAGCAUNNNNNNNNNNNNNNNNNNNNNNNNNNNNNNNNNNNNNNNNNNNNNNNNNNNNNNNNNNNNNNNNNNNNNNNNNNNNNNNNNNNNNNNNNNNNNNNNNNNNUGCCUUUUCUGUUUUUUCUGUUUCCCUUUUCUUUUCUUUUCUCUAUUUUAUUAUUCGUUUUAUAUUAUGAUUUAUUUUAAAUUCAUAUUUUUUGUUUCGAUAAUUAUUUUUAUUUUCUCUAUUUUACCAUUUAAUUUUAUUUGUUUCCUUUUCCAUCCAUUUCUUAUUUAUUCAUUUAUUUAUUUUAAAUUCAUGAAACUUUUUCACUCUGUCAUCUUUUAACUUCAAAUGUUGUGCAAAUCUUUUUUGCGGGUUCUUUUUGUCACCCCCGUCCAGUGGUGUGCUAUUUGUCUUUUGUCUAUUUGUCGACUUGUUCACGUGUGCGAUUUUUGGUGGAUCAUUUUCCAUGACGCGAUCUGGGAGUUCUGUUUCGGAUUGGUUUUACUAAUUCUCAUCUAGGUGAGAGUUGACAAUGUCAUCUAACUCCUAUACCAUUAAAUAUCGUUUGCAAAAGUAUUCAUUUGUCGUUGUGUCAUAUUUUGUCUUCAUCUCAUGAGAAGUAGUGAGACCUGAUAUGACUUUUAGUGAGCCGUUUUCAUGUUUUGUGUAUUGGUUUAUUUUUUGGGCUAUAGUUUUUUGGUGGAAGGCCACAUGUCAUUUUAUUCCAUGUUAUUUUAUUUUAUUUUCGGUUCGAUUGUGUANNNNNNNNNNNNNNNNNNNNNNNNNNNNNNNNNNNNNNNNNNNNNNNNNNNNNNNNNNNNNNNNNNNNNNNNNNNNNNNNNNNNNNNNNNNNNNNNNNNNGAUUGACGAACGGGAGCUAGUUACAUAUCUCUCCGUGUUAUAGCUGUUACAUGAUGAAUCACAUCCGUCAUACUCAUCCAUCACCAAUCCACUAGCUACGAGUCUUUUACUACUGGUUCUCGCUACGUUACUUUGUUUAGGCUUGUCCCUUGCUACAAAAUGGAUUGGGCCACUUUGCUGCUACUGCUGUCACUUUGCUACUACUGUUGCUACUGCUGUUACUCUGUUGCUGCUACUACUGGUGUUCCUUGCUACCUCGCUGUUACUUGUUGCAAGACUUUUCUGGAGCCGUUGCUAGGGAAGAAUAGUUCCCAGUCCACAUGCUCUUUACUGGCGCCAUUGAUAGAACAGUUAGGAAUAGUGUGCCAUCAACAGAUCGUUUCUGGCAUCGUUGCUAUCAUACUACUUUGCUACUGAUACUUUGCUUGCAGACACUAAUCUUUCAGGUGUGGUUGAAUCUGAUAAAUUCAGCUGCUAAUACUUGAGAAUAUUCUUUCGCUUCCCUUGGCGAACCAACAAAUUUGGGUUGAAUACUCUACCCCNNNNNNNNNNNNNNNNNNNNNNNNNNNNNNNNNNNNNNNNNNNNNNNNNNNNNNNNNNNNNNNNNNNNNNNNNNNNNNNNNNNNNNNNNNNNNNNNNNNNCUAUAGGGCGAAUUCAAAAAAUGCUCAGGAUUUUUGUCAAAAUAUUCACAUAUUCAGAAAAAUGUUCAUAAUUUUGAGAACAAUGUUGGUGAAAACAAUAAAAGUCCAUGAUUUUGAAAAAAAGUUUGUGUGUUAUUUUUUGAGUGCAAUUGAAAAAAAUGUUUGGUUAUUUAAAAAAUGUUCAUGCAUUUUAAGAAAUGUCCUAAAAUUUUGAAGACAUAAUAUGAUCAGCACCAUUGGAGAUUAUAAUUGUUUUUCUCCCGUUGCAACGCACGGGUCCUUUUGCUAGUAUAUCUAAUUACUCUAUCGUAUACUAGUGUAGGAAUACUAGUCUAGAAAUAAUAAACUACGGGAGUAAAAAAAAUACCUUUAGAAUGCAGAGUAAGAAUUAAUUCCAAUGAGGAGACGACUUCGAGAAAUCCCGCCGAAGAGAAAAAAAAUAUUUUUAUUUAAUAAAUCUAGUUAAACCAAAAGAUUGAUUUAACCCGAAAUAGAUGAUUUUUUGGAUGCUCCUAUGGGUCUAUAUUUAUAGGUGGAAGGAAGGUCUAAUGAUCCAUAGAUAGGCAAUGUGGGACUAAACAUAUACGUAACGUGGAGAGAAAAGAAAAAGAAAGGAAGAGGGGUGCCGCAUGGGCCAUGGAUUCGGCCAGCCAUAUGAGUAGUACGGCCAGGCGCUGCCUUUGUUUUUUUCUUUUUCGAACGAACAAUUUUUUUUAAAACAAAGAAAAACGUAUAAAUGAAAAAGAGAGAAAAUUUUAUAUAGACAUAUUAUAUAUCAAAAUUUUCAGAAUAAAAUUUUCUAAAACAUGAACAUAUUUUUAAAACCAAAAAAAAUACUUUUUUAAAAAGUUAUUUUUUUGCAAUAACUUUAAAAUGAAAAGGAAUUUGAAUUUCAAAUAAAUUGCAAAUACUUAAAAUUUGAAUCAAGACAUUGUCUCUGAUUUUGGAGUGUCAUUUUUCUCCUUUCGUUUGAUUUUUUUUAAUCAAAGGUUUUUGAAAAUAUUCAAACUCAAAAUUGAAAAGGGAUUCAAAAUAGAAAAUUUUGGGAAAGUCAUUUUAUUCCCUCUCAUUUUUUUGAAAAGUUUCAAAGUCCACUCAAGUUUCAGUCACUCAAACAAACAAACAAUCAAUCUAAUAAUUAUAUUAACAUUCCAAAAUUUANACAGUGCACUUUCCGAAGAAACGAUAUCAAGUACAUUGCAUCAAUGCUAUCGAAAAGACUUCAUCGAUUCUUAUUGGGAGCUUUGAAUGCCCUAUUCCUCGUGUCAAGAUGAAGUAUGAUUUGCUUGUUGGGGAAAUACACAUCCCCAUUGAGGUGACCUAGUGACUAUUCGAGAAUUCUCCGUUCUCUUUUGCGAUUCGAAAAGGUUUGUCGAGGAGACUUGAUCAACCUCACUGACGGAUUUCUUUCGAUGACCAUGAGAUGGAUGAAUCGAGGAGUCACAAACCUCUGUUUCAAGCUUUCACCUUCGGUUGCUUAGAAGAAAAAUGAUAGAUUUAGAUUAGUUUUCCCUGUUUUCUGUUUUAGCGUCCGGUAGAAAAGUACCACGAAAAUAGAAGUUCUCCGAACGUCCUGAAAAUCAAGUAUGAUUUUUUCUGGAUUUUUUAAAAAAUACUGGGACAAAGAGUCUGUCUCGGGGCCACACUAGUGGGCCACAAGCCCUAGGGACGCGGGCACCCCCUAGUCGCGCCACCCAGGCUUGUGGGGCCCACAGGCACCCCCUCCACUCAUUCUUGCUCUCAUCCGCUUCUCCUACCUCCAGAAAAAAUCGUUUCGCAGCUCAAACCCGUGAUCUUGCUCCUCUUGCUGGGAUUUUCGAUCUCUUUGCUCAAAUCACCAUUCUCCGAACUGUUUUGGGGAAAUUACUCCUUGGUAAGUGACUCCUCCAUUGGUCCAAUUAGUUUUUUCUCUAGUGCCUUAUACUCCGCAUAUUUUUGCUGCCUUGGUGACCAUGUUCUUGAGCUUUGCAUGCUGAUUUUAGCUGGUCCCAAGUAGUUUUGAUGCGUAAUAUGGCCUCUAGGCACUUGUGGGAGUAGUUGCUAUGAGUUUUGUUGGGCCUUAUUCACUUUUCCUUAGAAUCACUAAAAAAUUCAGAAAUUUUCAGAGAUAGAAAAGGGAAAAGAUGAGGAGGUUCUUAAUAGGCUCUUCAAGCUGUGAGCCCAAGGAUGAUGGGAGUGAGAAGAAGCCCAAGUAUCCGGUCCCUCGAGUCGUAGAAGUUCGAGCAUGCGAAUGGCCAAGCGACGUGUUCUUACGCGCCGCAGGAAUUUAUGAGGACUUUUAUCACUUGGUGGAAAAUGCAGGCCUUACCGCCUUCGUUGAAGAUAAGUGUCCGCAAUACCUCCUCCUCACCAAUAUCUUCGUACAAAGCUUUAACUUCUAUCCGAGGAAGAAUCCUCCUAUGGUUGAGUUUAAACUUUAUGAUAUCCCCCAGCGCAUGUCACUCCAGGAUUUUUGCAAUGUUUGCAAAUUUCCUUUUGUUGGGGAUAUUCGUGAACCUCUUCCACGAGACUUGGAAGCUUUCAUUGAUACAAUUGCUGUAGGAGAGGAGAGAGGAGUGUCUUGCGCUAGAGCUGCUAGCAUUCAUUUUCCCGUGCUUCGGUACUUCUCAUUAUUUGUGGGAAAAUGUUUGAUUGGCUGUGGGAAAGCUGGGUCACUUAGUUCCCCAGAUCUUGCGGUCUUGCACGAAGCCCUUUAUAACGAUAAAACUUAUAGCUUGGGCGUUAUAGUAGCUCAACGGUUGAACCUGAACCGUUCUAAAGGUGUUGUCUAUGGAGGUAUCUAUGCUACUCGUCUUGCCAGACACUUUGAGAUACCUAUUAGACUGGACGAGGAAGAAGAGGUUCUUCUUCCCGAGAGAUAUCUAGAUUACGACAACAUGGUUCGCCAUGACUUUUUUGAUAGAGAUAUAAGUAGAAGGAUGAUUUAUAACCUGGUGUUUAGUCAGGGUACCCGUGAGACUAUUACUUUGCCUGCUCCUUCUUUGUUCAAUCUUCAUGCAAGCAGGUACAUUAUUAUGCCCUCAGACAUCUACGCAUAUUGGGGCUUAGCCCAACCACAGGUGCCCGUGCCCGAGCCACCAGUCGAGUACCAGACGCCGGUUUAUCAGUGGGAGCUAGAGGAGCUCACAUAGCAGUGGCAUCCUCAGUCCACUCAGGAGUACCCCGGAGCUGGUUAUUUCCCUCCUUGGGGGUAGACCAAGUUAGGACAAAAGCCUAAGCUUGGGGGAGUACGUGUUCUCACCGACUUUACAUUCUUGCUUAUGCUUUCACUUUGUUAGCCGGUGUUCGCACUUUGCCACUGUAUCAUCCAUGCUAGUUUAUUUUCUUUUUCUCGUUUUCUUUUUGUGUGUCUGUCUAGUUUGAAAAACCCAAAAAGAUUUUCUUUUUCUUCUUUUGCUUGUUGGGAGCUUUCCCGUGUAGAUAGUUUUGUUUUUUCUUUGGGUCAAGGUAGAAGAUAUUGGUUACAAUGUUUAGCGGCUCUUGCAUGCAUACCUGUUUAGCUUUCAAACAACCAUAUUAUUUUGUCUUCUCCUUUGUGUUUGCCUGCAGAUUCCAGCUUUAGUCCAAUGCACGAGCACGCUUAUUAUUGUUCACAUCAUACGGUCGUGCAAGUGAAAGGCAAUAAUGACGAUAUAUGAUGAAGUGACUGAGCCUGGAAAAGCUGGUAUGAACUCAAUCUAUUUUGUUUUUGUAAAUAUGACUAGCUCUUCAUGCCUGAUUCAGCUUUGUUGUGAGAGAAACAUGUUUGCAAUGAAAACUUAGAGAUCAUAGUUGCUUAUGCCAUGCUUACUUAACUAGGAGCCUAUAAUGGUUUGUCUUGGUUGCCCACAUGAAUGUUGAGAUGACUGUGUUGUAGUAUGAUAGGAUGGUAUCCUCCUUUGAAUGAUUCAAGUGGCUUGACUUGGCGCAUGUUCACGCAUGUAGUUGAAACAAAAUCAACAUAGCCUCUAUGAUGUCCAUGUUCAUGGUGAUUUAUGUCCUACUCAUUCUUGCACUCAAUGUUAGUUAAUCUCAAUGCAUUUUGAUGACUGUUGUCGCUCUCUAGUUGGUCGCUUCCCAGUCUUUUGCUAGCCUUCACUUGUCCUAAGUGAGAAUACUGCUUGUGCAUCCACUUCCAUAAACCCAAAGUUGUUCCAUAUGAGUCCAUCAUACCUACCUAUUUGUGGUAUCUACCUACCGUUCCAAGUAAAUUUUCAUGUGUCAUUCUCUAAACCUUCAAGAAAUAAUCUGUUUUGCAUGCCCGAACCACUCAUGUGGUGACAGGGGGCUAUUGGUAUCUUCCAUGCUAGGCGUGUUAUCCUCGAUAUGUGUUUAUUCACUGUCAUUCACGAGAAAGGGGCCGGUAAUUGGAAUUCCCAGUUCCAUGCUCAAAUCAAAAUAUAGUUGCAAACAAAAGUCCCCCAGGAUUGAUGUUGGUAUGGACGGUACCUGAGGAUCGGCUAGCCGUGGAGUGUGAUUGAUUGGUGGUGGGGGAGUCAAAACUUUACUUUUCUGUUUGGGAACCGCCUAUAUCAUGUGUAGCGUGGAAGAUGUUGAUAAGUCUUGGUCAUUGCGUUGACAAUGAAAGCAUACCAACCAAAAUUAUUAUCUCUGUUUUCAAAGCUUGAGCUCUGGCACCUCUGCAAAUCAAUGCUUCCCUCUGCAAGGGCCUAUCUAUUUAUGUUCCUGUUGAGUCAUCCUCCUCUUAUAAAAGCACCAAUUAGAGAGCACCUGUGUCGUUUUUGUGCGUUGCUUUUAACUGUGUUGAGUAUGACUAUGAAUGGAUCUUCAUUGCCAUGAAUUACAAUGUUUAGUCAGCCCUUGGUCUUUUAAGGUGCUGUGCAUUUAUGUUUUGCGGUAUCAGAAAGAGCUAGAGAGAUACCAUCUCUUCGCACUGCUUCAUGAUUGUUUUGAUUGAAGUGUUGACGUUUGAGACUUAUUAUUAUUUGCUCGCUAGUUGAUUAUGCCAUUGGUACGAGUUUAACAUGAGACCUAGAUGUAUUUUGCUUAUCUCGUUUGCUUGUGAUCUUGCUGAAAUUCUGGUUAUGAGUUAGACAUAGUUGCAACAACAAGAUCAAACAGAGUUCGUCAAAGUUUUUCUUUUGUCUCUUUCAGUUUGUCAACUGAAUUGCUUGAGGACAAGCAAGGAUUUAAGCUUGGGGGAGUUGAUACGUCUCCGUCGUAUCUACUUUCCGAACUCUUUUGCCCUUGUUUUGGACUCUAAUUGGCAUGAUUUGAAUGGAACUAACCCGGACUAACGUUGUUCUCAGCAGAAUUGCCAUGGUGUUGUUUUUGCGCAGAAAUAGAAGUUCUCGGAAUAACCUGAAAAUUUUCGGAGAAUUUUUCUGGAAUUUAUGAAAAAUACUGGCGCAAGAAUCAACGGAUGGAGUGGAGCUAUGAGCCCGCAAGCCCACCAGGCGCGGCCCCCCUGGCCGCGCCUCGCAGGCUUUUGGGGCCCACAACGCUCCACCGCCUCCAAUCUCAGGUCUAUUUUAGUCCGUAUCACCCGGACAAAAAUCAUAGAGAAGGUUUCAUCGCGUUUUGUGAUACGGAGGCGCCGCCACAUCCUCUUCUUCAUAUGGAGGGCAGAUCUGGAGUCCGUUUUGGGCUCCGGAGAGGGGAAAUCGUCGCCAUCGUCAUCAUCAACCUUUCGCCAUCGACAAUUCCAUGAUGCUCUUCACCGUUCGUGAGUAAUCUCAUCGUAGGCUUGCUGGACGGUGAUGAGUUGGAUGAGAUCUAUCAUGUAAUCGAGUUAGUUCUUGACGGGGAUUGAUCCCUAGUAUCCACUAUGUUCUAGAUUGAUGUUGCUACUACUUGGCUAUGCUUAAUGCUUGUCACUAGGGCCCGAGUGCCAUGAUUUCAGAUCUGAACCUAUUAUGUUGUCACUAAUAUAUGUGUGUUUUAGAUCCUAUCUUGCAAGUUGUAGUCACCUACUAUGUGUUAUGACCCAGCAACCCCGGAUUGACAAUAGUCGGAACCACUCCCGGAGAUGACCAUAGUAUGAGGAGUUCAUGUAUUCACCACGUGUUAAUGAGUUGGUCCGGUUCUUUAUUAAAAGGAGAACCUUAAUAUCCCUUAGUUUCCAUUAGGACCCCGCUGCCACGGGAGGGAUGGACAAGAGAUGUCAUGCAAGUUCUUUUCCCUAAGCACGUAUGACUACAUACGGAAUACAUGCCUACAUUAGAUUGACGAACGGGAGCUAGUUACAUAUCUCUCCGUGUUAUAGCUGUUACAUGAUGAAUCACAUCCGUCACACUCAUCCAUCACCGAUCCACUGCCUACGAGUCUUUUACUACUGGUCCUCGCUACGUUACGUUGCCUAGGUUUGUCCCUUGCUACAAAAGGGAUUGGGCCACUUUGCUACUACUGUUGCUACUGCUGUUACUCUACUGCUGCUGCUACUGCUGUUCCUUGCUACUUCACUGUUACUUGUUGCAAGAUCGUUUCCGACACUAUUGUCGGGGAAGAAUAGUUACUCGUCCACGUGCAACCUACUGGCGCCAUUGGUACAACAGUUAGGAAUAAUCAGCCGUCAACAGAUCGUUUCUGGCACAGUUAUUAUCAUACUACUUUGCUACUGAUUCUUUGCUUGCAGACACCAAUCUUUCAGGUGUGGUUGAAUCUCACAAACUCAGCUGCUAAUACUUGAGAAUAUUCUUUCGCCUCUUCUUUGGCGAACCAACAAAUUUGGGUUGAAUACUCUAACCUCGAAAACUGCUGCGAUCCCAUACGCUUGUGGGUCAUCAAUCGAUACCUUGGUUCUCAAACUGAGGGAAAUACUUACUGCUCCUGUGCUGCAUCACCCUUUCCUCUUCAAGGGAAAAACCGACGCUAACAAGAGAAGUAGCAAGAAGAAUUCCUGGCGUUGCUUGGGAAGGACUUUUGUUGCCGUAGGAGGAGGGUUAUGGCCAAAAUGGAUGCACUUCGUGUAUAAAAUGGACAAUCUCUUUCGAAGUAUCGGGAUUUCGGACGAAUCUCAUCUCUUACGAAGGCAUUCCAUUUUUUAAUAACCUAAAAAUUAACAAAUUUAAUAUAAUGGUAAAACACACUAAUAUUAAACAUUAGAAAAAAAGAAUGACCAAAAAAUCUAUUUAAAUAUAAAGUUAUUCACAAAAUAGUGAUUCACACAAAUUUCAAAAAAAAUCAAAUUUGAACUACGUAAAUUUGAAAACUACUAGCACUAACAGAAAUUUUGUAGUUUAUUGACCUAAAACAAAAAGAUUCAUUCAAAAACUAUAAAUAAUCUAACACUUAUUCCUAAUUAAAAAACAAAAACUGUCGUGUUUAGAAAAUUAAAAACAAUAAAAAAGAGAAAAUAGACCUUUAGUCCCGGCUGGAGCCACCAACUGGGACUAAAGGUCCCUUCUUGCGCGGAGUUUGGGCCGUCGAAAAUACACCUUUAGUCCCGGUUGGUUGGUCUAGCCGGGACUAAAGGUGUGUGCUAGUGGGCCAGGCGCCCCACCUUUAGUCCCGGUUGGAGCCACCAACCAGGACUAAAGACCCUUUAGUCCCGGCUCCAACCGGGACUAAAGGUCCCUACAUAUAAAUCCCCGUGCCUGUUUCGGCCCGAUCUCUUCCAUUCGACCCCUCGACGCCGACGCCCCUGCCCAGAUGCUUCCAGGCUGUCGGAGUCGCCGCCGCUCUGAAGCCGUCCUCGUCGUCGCCGCCAUCGACGUCGGUCGUCUGCGCCUCAUCCACGAGCCAUCUGCCCGUCGACGAGCCGCUGCUGCGCUCGGGUCCUUCUCUCCCACAGUGAGCUCCGUCGGCCGCCUCCUUCCCUCCUCGAACUGAGCGCCAUGGCCACCGGCCUGCCCGAGCGCGGCGGCGCCAUGGCCGCCGGCCGACCCGAUGUUCAUAUAGAUGUUUUGAAAUUGUUCAUAGAUUUUCAUAUAUAGAUGUUUUGAAAUUGUUCAUAGAUGUUCAUAUAGAUGUUUUGAAAUUGUUCAUAGAUGUUCAUAUAGAUGUUUUGAAAUUGUUCAUAUAUGUUCAUAUAGAUGUUUUGAAAUAUUGUUCAUAGAUAUGUUUUGAAAUUUUUGCCAUAUGGUUAAUUAGGUAGUACUCCCUCCGUUCCUAAAUAUAAGUCUUUCAGAUGUUUCACUAAAAUACUACACACGUGAUGUAUAUGGACAUUCUUUAGAGUGUAGAUUCACUCAUUUUGUUCCGUAUCUAGUUUCCUAGUGAAAUAUCUAAAAAGACUUGUAUUUAGGAAUUGUUGCCAUAGUUUUAGGUAGUGUGAUGUUCAUAUAGAUGUUUUGAAAUUGUUGCCAUAGUGUUAGGUAGUACGAUGUUCAUAUAGUGUUAGGUAGUGCGAUGUUCCUAGUGUUAGGUGUUACCAUGCAUAUAAUAAGUUUACAUUGUGAGAAGAAAAUAUGUACGAUGAUAACUUACUUAUUUAGAUGUAUAUGAUAUUUCACCCUAAGCUUAAAUAGUAGAAAUUUAAAUAAUUGUAGAAUUUGUUCUCGACAUCGACGAUACCCGACCCACAUCCUCGUCAUCGACUCGGUGGCGCCAACCUGCUUGAGAGGCGCCAUGUCCGGGACUGGGCUCCGCCGGGCUGGCACUGGGAGGUGCUACCUUGCGGGGCGUGCAUCUUGCCGAGGAACCGGGCUCCCGUCAUCGACCCAGAGCUUCUUUGGUGGCGGUCGCGUGGUCCACUUUCGGUGCGGAGUAAGCCAACCCCCGAGGAGGAGGUACAUCGCCGUGCCAGGGAGGACGACAAGCAUAUCCGUCUCUACAUGGAGGCGUUGGACGUCAGGUUCUUAAAUACCUGGCAUAUCCUUCACGGAUCUCACACGAGCUAUGAUCCUGUGAUGGUUCCUUCGCUUUGGGUGUCCACCACCCGCGCCUCAGUACAAUGGCAACUCUUUGGGUGGCCGGUUUGAUAAUAUGAAUCGAGAGAUGUAUUAGUGAUAAUAUUGGAGAGAUGUAUUUGAGAUUAUAUUCGAUAAUAUUAAUUCUAUGAUGCAUUAAUUAAGUGAAUUAUUCGAUGUAUUCGUGAUAUUAUAUAUAUGAUGAUCUUGCUAGUUAUAGUGAAUACUAAAUUGUGUUAUCUUUCUUCUUGAUUACUUAAGCUAUGGACAGUAGAGACAGAGACCAUGAUCAACAAUAUGUCUUGUACGACAUAAUACGCCCGGGAAACCAAGAGAAUGAAUAACUAGAUGAUGGCUCACAAUAUCUGAACCCAUACUGUGAGGGAAUUGAGGAAGAACAACCAAGAGACCAUGGGGAACCAGACAAUGAUGACGAAGAACUUUUUCUCGAAUCAACAAAGUCCGACGAGGUAUAUAUUUGUCCCUUGGUGAUCAUUAGAUGUAUUAAUUGAUCUAUAUAUAAUAUAUAUUAACGAGUCUCUUCUUUUAGCCCUCCGGAUCGAGCAAAUUGCCUAUAAGCAGGGCAGUACAAGGCCAGGCCAAAAAGUUGGCUGACGAUAGAAAGUACAACAUCGACGACAUAACAGAAGGUGGCCUACCAAGUGGUCCCAAAGCUAAUGUGGACAAAUUUGUCCGUCAAUGCGGAGUUAUUGUCAGGGACCAAAUCCCGAUCUCCAUUCAAGAGUGGCAUAGACCAAAGAAAGAUCGAGAAGUUAGUUUUGUGGACGAAAGAGCAAAAAAUCUGCUUUGGGAUACAGUCAUGACGCAUUUCACCCUAUCAGAGAAUUUGUCAGAUGCACAACGGGAGAAAGUCAAGAGGUAUGCUCUUAAGAAGAUGGACACACAAUUUUGCAACUGGAAGAAAAGGUUAUGGUCCAACUUCGGCAAACAAGACAAGACUCCAGAAUUCACUGUACAAUACGAGAAGUUAAAAGAUCAUGGGACUUACUUGUGCAGUUCAAGCAAUCAGAAACCGCUAAGGAGAGGGCGAGGAUAAACAAGCAAAAUGCUCAGAAAAAAGAGAACCACCAUUCUCUGGGGCCAGGUGGCUACAAGAGUGGCAUACCUAAGUGGGAUGAAUACGAGCAAAAUAUGAUUGAUGCAGGGGUCACUCCGCAAACAAUUACUUAGACCAGAAGGUGCAUGAAUUGGUUUUAUGGGCAUGUGGGAAAGUUGGACCCAAACACAGGGGUGAUUUUGGAGCAUGCAAGUCUUAAAAAUGCCUCUAAAGCUAUACUUCAGGCAAUAAAAGAUGCUCGAACGGGGGUGUUCCAGCCCGAGAGAGAGAACAAUGAGCUUACACACGCCCUCAAGAAUCCCGAACACCCGGGACGAACACGAGGCAAAGGCGUUGUUCAGUGAGCUGAGGGGUUUAAGGACUGGAACAAACUCUUACAAAAGCCGUUCGAGAAAUAAGAAUCAGGAGGCAUGCAAGAAGAGGCAGGACGUUGACCGGCUUGAGGAUUUGGAACGCAAAUUCUUGCGACAGCAAGAGCAGAUCGACAACUUAACCAGCAAAGGACUUCCCAGCGGCUGGAGCAACCAGAUCCAACAUUGGAUAACAUCAUCCCAGCGAUGCCGAAAAGUAGCAUGGGUUCCAUGAGGGUCAUUGCGGAUGCUCACUGUUGGCUCAUUACCCCGUGGGUGAAAUCAUAGAGGCGAAAAGUUGUGAGCUUCACAUGAAACUCAAGAACAUAUCCACGAAGGUAGCGGAUGACUAUGCUUUAACAAAUCCCCCUGAUGCAACCUUCCAUUCCAAUCCGAUUCCAGCUCGCUAUGCUCGUGUCGAGGUGUAUGAAGUGAUGCCGGGAUAUGAGUCACUAGAGCUCGACAUUCCUGGAGGUGAAGGGUAGCAUACACUGCAAGAAGUCUUACAUGGUCUCUGCUUAUGGAGAAAGGACUACAUCGUCUUUCCAAGGCCAUCGACUCCUCCACCAAGUCCGCCGCGUCAGCCGACUCCAACCCACCACCCGACACGGAGCAUAGCGCUAGUCCGCCACCGCGUUAGCUGACUCCAUCCCACCCCGACAUGAAGCCCAACACGAGUCUACCACCGUGGCCAUUUAAUCUUCUGAUGAAGAACCAGAGCCCAAAGUGGAAGAGAGCACCAAGGAAGAAACCCUACCCUCCUGCCAAAAAGAAGUUGGCUUACGAGAUGAGCACGGAGGAAAGAGACACCCAAGUGGCUAAGGAAUUGUAGGACCAUUUUGGACUGAAACCGUUGAUGACCCACAAGUGUAGGGGAUCUAUCGUAGCCUUUUCGAUAAGUAAGAGUGUCGAACCCAACGAGGGGCAGAAGGCACUGACAAGUGAUCUUUAGCAAGGAAUAACUGCAAGUAAUAAAAGGUAGUUUUUUCUGGGUUUUCUAGUAAUAGCAACAAGGAAAUAAAUGCAAGAAAAAUAAAUGGUGCCGAGGUGCAGCGAGUGGCCCAAUCCUUUUGAACACAAAGGAUAAGCCGAGGGACUAAACUUAUAAAGACUAAGGCAUUACUGAGGACACACGAGAGAGAUAGUCAAGUGCUUUCGCCAUACUCUGUCUAGUACUAUGUUUUGUAUUGAUAAGUGUUAUGUGGGUGGAUCUUAACUAGUGCACCAUCUAGGCUAACACAAGUACACUCUUAUGAUUAAUCCCUCUUGCAAGAAUCCGCAUAUACAAGAGAGAAAUUAAGGAAAAACCUAACCAUAGCAAUAAGCUUUAGGAUCCAGUACUCCCUCAUGCAAAAGUAUGCGAAUUGGGGUUCAGGUUUCUGUCACUCCGGCAACCCACCAUAAGAAUUAUUUAUACAUGAUGCAUUCCCCUAGGUCCUUAAAAAGGUGAAGUGUUAUGUAGUUGACAUUCACAUAACACCACCAGAAGAAUAACACCAUAACUUAAAUAUCAAUCAACACAUGUUACUUCAACAUCAUAUGACUACUAGCAUUUAGAAUUUUACCAUGUCCUCAAGAAUUAACAUAACUAUUCACAAGACAUAAAAUAGAUCAUGAUCAAAGGUGAUGAAAAUAUGAUUAACAAUCUGUUCAUAACAAUAAUUCUCCAACAAAACUCAAUAGCAUUCACCACAAAAGAGUAAUCAACACCGGUAGAGUAGAGGGGAUUAAUAGUGCAAGGUAUAACUCUGAUCGUAGUAGAUGGGAUGAAGAUGGAGAUGGUGCUGGUGAUGGUGAUGAUGGUGAUGAUGAUCUCAAUGACGCCCGUGAUGAUGAGGAUGAUCUCCCCUUCCGGGAAGAGUUCUCCCCGGCGGAAUCUGCCCGCCAGAAAGGUCUUUUCUUCUCUGUAGGUUUCCGCCAUGGAGCGUCGGCGGAACUGCGAAAACUCUUCUGUCCCCAUAACUUUUAGGUCAAGAGUAUGAUAUAGGCCAAAGGAGAGAGACGGAGGCGGGACCCACCACCCAGGCGGCCUCUGGGCGCGACCUAGGGGGCCCACUCUAGCAGGUUGCUUGGGUGACCUGUGCCCCCCUCCAGCCCUCCUUCGACCAGUCUUCGUGAUACGUUCGGAAACUUCUUCCUUCAAAAUUUCAGCGCAGUUGGAGAUGUUCUGAUAUGGUAACUCUUCGUGCUAUUUUCUCCGCUGAAUCCUGCGUGUGCUGUUUUGGCACCGGAAAGUUGUAAACUGCGUAAAAUAAUCCAAAACACUAUAAGCACAUCAUCAUAAUGUGAAAUAUAUCAAUGAAUAGAGAUAAAUUAUGAUACAAAAUAGUGAUGCAUUUUGGAUGUAUCAACUCCCCCAAUCUUAGACCUCGCUUCUCCCUAGGCGAAUACUGAGCUCGGUAAACCUGUCCACAAGUUUAGAGAGUGAAGUGUCGAUAAAUAAGAAUAUUGACAAGAAGGAUCAAUUUCGCUACUAAACUCAACCAUCCUCAACAACAAUCUCAACUCAUAAGGCUCUUAUGAAAGAGUGAUAUCAAUCACAAUCAAAAGUAGGGCUAGAAAAACUCAUCAAACCAUGGCAAACAUGUCCUUGGUCAAAGAACAACUAAUAACUUUUAACUUUUGCUCUUCCUCUUAUAUUUUGAUGAGAUCAAUUGAAGCUUUUUGAAAGAACAUGUUAUUAGUCAAGAAGUGAAAAUGCUAACACAAAGGAAGAUGUUUUCUUUAGCUAGGCUUUAACAAACAACUUACUUAUCUUAAUGACAAUAUCAACAAAGGUGUGAUAUGUCAAUUCUCAAUGAAACAAUAUAAAUGCAUGCAUCUUUGUGAACAUAAGGUGUCUGCUCCUUUUAGGAUAGAAAGAAGUAAGUUUUACUGACUCAACAUAAAAGUAAAAGAUUGGCCCUUCGCAGAGGGAAGUAGGGAAAACUCAUGUGCUAGAGCUUUUAGGGAUUUAAAAAAAAUAAUCAUCAAGAUUGUAAAACAAGCUUUUGAGAGGUGCAUAAUUUGUCAACGAAUGCUAGUAGACAGCCCAAUACUUCUCAUGCUAGAAAAGUUUUGAGGAACGGUCCCAAAGUGGGGACGAUCUCAUCCCCUUAGUCUCCUUUGUUUAUCACUACCAAAGUUUUGUUAUUUCUCAUCAACAAAGCAUGAAGGAGGUUUUGUUUGUUGUUAUUAUCUUUUACUAGCUGGGCGCACUCAUGCCAGUCCCUUCUGGUGUUAGGGGUUCGCAGAUCAGACAUGCAAACCCAGGAUAAAACUUGUCCAGUAUGAGAAGAUCAUGAAUUAUCUACUACUUCCUCAUGAGCUAAAACAGAGGCACAAAACAGGGAGUAAUAUUUGAAGGUUUGAAGAUAGCACAUGAAUAAUAUACUUUAGGAGUGGCGGUGAAAUACCACAUAUAGGGAAGGUAUGGUGGACUCUUGGGAGGGUUGAGGUUUCAGGGCAUGGAUGCACAAGUAGUAUUCCCGCUUAGUGCAAGGGUUGGCUAGCAAAGGCUUUUGAGACCAGACAAAUAAUUUUGACUUGGAUGCAAAACAAUAUAAAGUUUAACAUAAAGAAUUGGCAUAAAACAUCAAGUUGUCUUCCUUGUCACCAUAACAUUUCAAGCAUAAGAACAUAAAGGUUUUGGCUAUGUCGCUACUAGAAAAACUCAUGCUUGUUGUUAUGACCAAUGCUAUGCUUGCCAAGAUUAAAUAAAGUUUUCAAAGCCAUACCUGAUAUGUAAUAUCAAUACUCCCAUAAGAAUCAACAUAUAAGAUCGAUUGCAUGAAGAGAAUACCAAGUGCAGCAAAUAAACCAAUAGACUUCUCAUUAAUAUUCCAUCAUAGACACUGCACGCUCACCGAUACAAGACUCUCCACAAAGGUGUUGGAAAUAUGCCCUAGAGGCAAUAAUAAAAUGGUUAUUAUCAUAUUUCCUUGUUCAUGAUAAUCGUCUAUUGUUCAUGCUAUAAUUUUAUUAACAGGAAACAAUAAUACAUAUGUGAAUAAAUAGAUCACAAUGUGUCCCUAGCAAGCCUUUAGUUGGCUAGCUCGUUGAUCAAUAGAUGAUCAUGGUUUCUUGAUCAUGGAAAUUAGAUGUCAUUGAUAACGGGAUCACAUCAUUGGGAUAAUGAUGUGAUGGACAAGACCCAAUCCUAAGCAUAUCACUAGAUCGUGUUGUUCGUAUGCUAAAGCUUUUCUAAUGUCAAGUGUGUAUUCCUUCGACCAUGAGAUUGUGCAACUCCCGGAUAUCGUAGGAGUGCUUUGGGUGUAUCAAACGUCACAACGUAACUGGGUGACUAUAAAGGUGCACUACGGGUAUCUCCAAAAGUGUCUGUUGGGUUGGUACUAAUCGAGAUUGGGAUUUGUCACUCCGUGUGAUGGAGAGGUAUCUCUAGGCCGACUCGGUAGAACAUCAUCAUGAGCUCAAUGUGACUAAGGAGUUAGUCACAUGAUGACGUGCUAUGGAACAAGUAAAGAGACAUAUCAGUAACGAGAUUGAACAAGGUAUAGGUAUACCGACGAUCGAAUCUCGGGCAAGUUCUAUACCGACAGACAAAGGGAAUUGUAUACGGGAUUGAUUGAAUCCUUGACAUCAUGGUUCAUCCGAUGAGAUCAUCGUGGAACAUGUGGGAUCCACCAUGGGUAUCCAGACCCUGCUGAUGGUUAUUGGCCGGAGAGAUGUCUCGGUCAUGUCUGCAUGCCUCCCGAACCCGUAGGGUCUACACACUUAAGGUUCGAUGACACUAGGGUUAUAGGGAAUUGUUAUACGAGGUUACCGAAGGUUGUUCGGAGUCCCAGAUGAGAUCCCGGACGUCACGAGGAGCUCCAGAAUGGUCCAGAGGUAAAGAUUGAUAUAUAGGAUGGAUGGGUUUGGACGUCGGAAAUGUUUCGGGCACCACCGGCAAAGUACUGGGACCACCGGAAGGGUUUCGGAGGCCCACCGGGAGAGGCCACCAGCCCCAGAAGGCUACAUGGGCCAAGUGUGAGAGGGAACCAGCCCCUGGAUGGGCUAGUGCACCCCCACACCUGGCCCAUGUAGCCUUCUGGGGCUGGUGGCCUCUCCCGGUGGGGGAAGGGGGGAACCCUAGCGCAGGUGGGCCUAAGGCCGACCAGGGGGUGCGCCACCCCCUCCCCCCUCCUGGCCGCCACCCCUCCCCCAUAUAGGGCUGCUGCCCCCCCUCAAGAGGGAAACCCUAAAUGGGGCACCACACUCCCUUCCCCAUAUACAUAGCUGGGGUUUUGGCCAUUGGAGAUACGGUUUUUCCAUCUCUCUCUCGGCGCAGCCCUGCUCUUCUUCUUCCUCCUCUCCCACGAUGCUUGGAGAAGCCCUGCCGGGAGACCUCGUCUCUUCAUCGACACCACGCCGUCGUGCUGCCGAAGAUCUUCCCCAACCUCUCCCUCCUCCUUGCUGGUUCAAGGUGCGGGAGACGUCACCGGGCUGCACGUGUGUUGAACGCGGAGGUGCCGUGGUUCGGCAAUAGAUCGGAAUCACACCGCGAUGUGAAUCACCGCGAGUACGACUCCAUCAACCGCGUUCUAGCAACACUUGUGCUUAGAGAUCUUCAAAGGUAUGAAGAUGAACUCUCCCGUAUUUCGUUGCUAGUCUCUCCAUAGGAAGAUCUGAAUAUGGCGUAGGAAAAUUUUGAAUUUAUGCUACGUAACCCAAUAGUGGCAUACAAGCCAAAUUUUCUAUGCGUAGAUUCUAUGCACGAGUAGAACAUAAAAAGUUGUGGGCGAUGGUUUUGUCAAUUGCUUGCUGCUACUAGUCUUAUUCUUUUCUGGCGGUAUUGUGGGAUGAAGCGGCUCGGACCAACCUUACACGUAUGCUUACGUGAGACAGGUUCCACCGACCAACAUGCACUAGGUGCAUAAGGUGGCUAGCGGGUGUUUGUCUCUCCCACUCUAGUCGGAUUGGAUUUGAUGAAAAGGGUCCGUAUGAAGGGUAAAUAGCUUUGGCAAAUCAUCGUUGUGGCUGUCACGUAGGUAAGAAGGCAUUCUUGCUAGAAACCCAAAUCAGCCACGUAAAACUUGUAACAACAAUUAGAGGACGUCUAACUUGUUUUUGCAGGGUUUGAUAUGUGAUGUGAUAUGGCCAAAAGUUGUGAUGUUACAUGUAUGAUGUAUGAGAUGAUCAUGUUCUUGUAAUAGGAUUCACGACUUGCAUGUCGAUGAGUAUGACAACCGGCAAGAGCCAUAGGAGUUGUCUUAAUUUAUUGUAUGAGAUGCAACGCCAUGUGCUUACUACUUUUAUUUCAUUGCUAACGAUUAGCUAUAGUAGUGGUAGUAGUAGUAUUAGUAGUAGUAGUUGGUGUGACGACUUCACGGAGACACGAUGAUGGAGAUCAUGAUGAUGGAGAUCAUGGUGUCACGCCAGUGAGAAUGAUAUUCAUGCGAUGCCCGAAGAUGGAGAUCGAAGGAGCAAAAAUGUAAUGGCCAUAUCAUGUCACUAUAUGAUUGCAUGUGAUGUUUAUCAUGUUUUUCAUCUUAUUGCUUAGAACGACGGUAGCAUAAUAAGAUGAUCCCUCAUAAAAUUUCGAGAACGUAUUCCCCUAAGUGUCCACCGUUGCGAAGGAUCGUUGUCUCGAAGCACCACGUGAUAAUCGGGUGUGAUAGAUUCUAACGUUCGCAUACAACGGGUGUAAGCCAGUUUACACACGCAGAACACUUAGGUUGACUCGACGAGCCUAGCAUGUACAUACAUGGCCUCGAAUACAGGAGACCGAAAGGUCGAACAUGAGUCGUAUGGUUGAUACGAUCAGCAUGGAGAUGCUCACCAUUGAUGAAUAGUCCGUCUCACGUGAUGAUCGGGCAUGGGCUAGUCGACGUGGAUCGUGUAACACUUGGAUGACUAGAGGGAUGUCGAUCUAAGUGGGAGUUCAUGAGAUGAACUUAAUUAUCAUGAACAUAGUCAAAUAGGUCUUUGCAAAUUAUGUUGUAACUUACGCUAUAGCUCUACGGUAUUUGAUACGUUCCUAGAGAAAAUAUGGUUGAAAGAUAGAAGUAGCAAUUGUGCGGACUCGGUCCGUUAACUGAGGAUUGUCCUCAUUGCUAAAUAGAAAGCUUAUGUCCUUAAUGCACCGCUCAGUGUGCUGAACCCCAAGCGUGAUCUGUGGAUGUUGCGAACAUCCGACAUACACCUUUUUGAUAACUACAUGAUAGUUCAGUGCAUAUUGCUUGAAUGACUUAGAAUUAAGGCAUUAAAGACGUUUCGAACAUCGCGGGACAUACGUGAUGAUCCAAGAGAUGAAAUUGGGAUUUCAUGCUCGUGCCCUUGUUGAGAGGUAUGAGACCUCAGACAAGAUUCUUUGUCUGCAAAAGUAAAGGAGAAGAUCUCAAUCAUUGAGCAUGUGCUCAGAUUGUCUGAGUACUACAAUCGCUUGAAUCGAGUGGGAGUUGAUCUUCCAGAUGAGAUAGUUAUAGUUCUCCAAAGUCACUGACAGCAAGCUACUAGAGCUUCGUGAUGAACUAUAUCAUAUUAAGGAUGGAUAUGAUGAUCCUUGAGCCAUUCGCGAUGUUUGACACCGCAGAAGUAGAAAUUGAAUGGGAGCAUCAAUUGUUGAUGGUUUGUGAAAACACUAGUUUCAAGAAGGGAAAUGGUAUGAAGGGAUACUUCAUUAAACGCAAACCAGUUGCUGCUAUAGUGAAGAGACCCAAGGUUGAACCAAAACCCGAGACUAAGUGCUUCUAUAAUAAGGGGAACAAUCACUGAAGAGGAACUACCCUAGACACUUGGUAGAUGAGAAUGUUGACAAAGUCAACAAAAGUAUAUUGGAUAUACAUGAUAUUGAUGUGUACUUUACUAGUACUCCUAGUAGCACCAGGGUAUUAGAUACCGGUUCGGUUGCUAAGUGUUAGUAACUCGAAAUAAAAGCUACGGAAUAAACAGAGACUAGCUAAAGGCAAGGUGACGAUGUGUGUUGGAAGUGUUUCCAAGGUUGAUAUGAUCACACAUCGCACGCUCCCUCUACCAUCGAGGUUAGUAUUAAACCUAAAUAAUUGUUAUUUGGUGUUUGCGUUGAGCAUAAAUAUGAUUGGAUUAUGUUAAUGGCAAAUACGAUUAUUCAUCUAAAGAGAAUAAUGGUUAUUCUGUUUACUUGAAUGAUACCUUAAAUGGUCUUGCACCUAGAAUGAAUGGUUUAUUGAAUCUCGAUCGUAGUGAUACACAUGUUCAUAUUAUUGUUGCCAAAAGAUACAAAGUAGUAAUGAUAGUACCACUUACUUGUGGCACUGCUGCUUGAGUCAUAUUGGUAUAAAAUGCAUGGAGAAGCUCCAUGCUGAUGGAUCUUUGUACUCACUCAUUUUUGAAACGUUUGAGACAUGCAAACCAUGCCUGUUGGUAUAAACGCAUGAAGAAACUCCAUACGGAUGGAUCGUUUGACUCACUUGAUUUUUGAAUCACUUGAGACAUGCAAAUCAUACCACAUGGGCAAGAUGACUGAAGACCUCUUUUUCAAUGAGAUGGAACAAGAAUGUAACUUGUUGGAAGUAAUACAUUUUGAUGUGUGCAGUCCGAUGAGUACUGAGGCACGCAGUGGAUAUCAUUAUGUUCAUACUUCACAAAUUAUUUGAGUAGAUACUAGUGUAUUUACUUGAUGAAACACAGGUCUGAAUUAUUGAAAAAGGUUCAAGUAAUUUCAGAGUGAAGUUGAAGAUCAUCGUGACAAGAGGAUAAUAUGUCUACGAUGUGAUCUUGGAGUGAUACGUCCAUUUCGCAUCAUGCUUUUAUGUUGAUAUUUAUCGCUUUAUGGGUUGUUAUUACACUUUACGGUACAAUACUUAUGCCUUAUCUCUCUUAUUUUAUAAGGUUUACAUGAAGAGGGAGAAUGCCGACAGCUGGAAUUCUGGUCUGAAAAAGGAGCAAAUUUGAGAUACCUAUUCUACGCAACUCCAAAAGCCGUGAAAACCAACGAGGAAUUAUUUUGGAUUUUAUAAAAAAAUCUGGGCAGAAGAAGUACUGGAGGGGAGCCACCAGGAGGCCACAAGCCUGCCAGGCGCGGCCUACCCCCUGGCCGCGCCUGGGUGGCUUGUGGGCCCCCUGUUGCCCCUAUGGCUCCCAUCUUUUGCUAUAAGUAGGGUUUUGUUCCAGAAAAAAUCAGGAGGAGGCUUUCGGGAAGAGACGCCGCCGCCACGAGGCGGAACUUGAGGAGAACCAAUUUAGAGCUCCGGCAGGGCCGUCCUGCCGGGGAAAACUUCCCUCCCAGAGGGGGAAAUCGUCGCCAUCGUCAUCACCAACACUCGUCUCAGCAGAGGGGACUCAUCUCCAUCAACAUCUUCAUCAACACCAUCUCAUCUCCAAACCGUAGUUCAUCUCUUGUAACCAGUCUCCGUCUCGCGACUCCGAUUGGUACUUGUAAGGUUGCUAGUAGUGUUAAUUAUUCUUUGUAGUUGAUGCUAGUUGGAUUACUCGGUGGAAGAUCAUAUGUUCAGAUCCCUAAUGCUAUUCAAUACCUCUCUGGUCAUGAAAAUAAUUAUGCUUUGUGAGUAGUCACUUUUGUUCCUCGGGACAUGGGAUAAGUCUUGCUAUAAGUAGUCAUGUGAAUUUGGUAUUCGUUCGAUAUUUUGAUGCUAUGUAUGUUGUCUUUCCUCUAGUGGUGUUAUGUGAACGUCGACUACAUGACACUUCACCAUUAUUUGGGCCUAGAGGAAGGCAUUGGGGAGUAAUAAGUAGAUGAUGGGUUGCUAGAGUGACAGAAGCUUAAACCCUAGUUUAUGCGUUGCUUCGUAAGGGGCUGAUUUGGAUCCACUAGUUUAAUGCUAUGGUUAGACUUUGUAUUAAUUCUUCUUUCGUAGUUGCGGAUGCUUGCGAGAGGGGUUAAUCAUAAGUGGGAUGUCUGUCCAAGUAAGGGCAGCACCCAAGCACCGGUCCACCCACAUAUCAAAAUAUCAAAGUAGCGAACGCGAAUCAUAUGAACAUGAUGAAAACUAGCUUGACAAAAAUUCCUAUGUGUCCUCGGGAGCGCUUCACCUCAUAUAAGAGUUUGUCCAGGAUUGUCCCUUGCUACAAAAGGGAUUGGGCCAUAUUGCUGCACCUUUGUUACUACUGUUACUUGCUACUUGCUACAAAUUAUCUUAUCACACAACUAUCUGUUACCGAUAAUUUCAGUGCCUGCAGAGAAUAACUUGCUGAAAACCACUUGUCAGUUCCUUGUGCUCCUCAUUGGGUUCGACACUCUUACUUAUCGAAAGGACUACGAUAGAUCCCCUACACUUGUGGGUCAUCAAGACUCUUUUCUGGCGCCGUUGCCAGGGAGUGAAGCGCCUUUGGUAAGUGGAAUUUGGUAAGGAAACAUUUAUAUAGUGUGCUGAAAUUUAUUGUCACUUGUCACUAUGGAAACUAAUCCUUUUGAGGAGCUUGUUUGGGGUAUCUUCACGUCGAACGGAAGCACAAGGAGUUGCUCCUCAAGCUGCUGCACCUACUGAAAAUAUUUGUUAUGAAAUUCCUUCGGGUAUGCUAGAGAAACUGUUGGCUAAUCCUUUUACAAGAGAUGGAACAUCACACCCCGACUUGCAUCUAAUCUACGUAGAUGAAGUUUGUGGUUUAUUUAAGCUUGCAGGUUUGCCCGAGGAUGAGGUCAAGAAGAAGGUCUUUCCCUUAUCUUUGAGGGAUAAAGCAUUGACAUGGUAUAGUCUAUGUGAUGAUACUGGAUCAUGGAACUACAACCGAUUAAAAUUGGAAUUUCAUCAAAAGUUUUAUCCUAUGCAUUUGGUACAUCGUGAUCGGAAUUAUAUCUAUAAUUUUUGGCCUCGUGAUAGAGAAAGUAUCGCUCAAGCUUGGGGAGGCUUAAGUCAAUGUUAUAUUCAAGCCCAACCAUGAGCUCUCGAGAGAAAUUAUUAUUCAGAACUUUUAUGCUCGGCUUUCUCAUGAUAAUCGCACCAUGCUUGACACUUCUUGUACCGAUUCUUUUAUGAAGAGAGAUAUUGACUUCAAAUGGAAUUUAUUGGAAAUAAUUAAACGCAACUCUGAAGAUUGGGAGUUUGAUGAAGGUAAGGAGUCAGGUAUGAAUCUCAAGUUCGGUUGCGUUAAAUCCUUCAUUGAAACAAAUACCUUUUGUGAUUAUAGCGCUAAACAUGGACUUGACUCUGAGAUAGUAGCUUCAUCAUGUGAAUCAUUUGCUGCUCAUAUUAAUCUCCCUAAAGAGAAGUGGUUUAAAUAUCAUCCUCCCAUAGAAGUCAAUGUAGUUAAACCCAAUCCAGUUGAAGAGAAAGUCAUUGCUUAUAAUGAUCCUAUUGUCCCUAGUGCUUACAUUGAGAAACCACCUUUCCCUGUUAGAAUAAAGGAUCAUGCUAAAGCUCCAACUGUGAUACGUAAGGGCUACAUUAGAACACCUACACCCCCUGAGCAAAUUAAAGUUGAACCUAGCAUUGCUAUUAUCAAAGAUCUCCUGUCCGACAAUGUUGAUGGGCAUGAUAUUCACUUAUGUGAAGAUGUUGCUAGAAUUGCUAAACCUCAUGCUAGAGACAAACAUAGGCCUGUUGUUGGCAUGUUUGUUGUUUCUGUUAAGAUAGGAGAUCAUUGUUAUCAUGGUUUAUGUGACGUGGGUGCUAGUGUUAGUGCAAUACCUCGAUCUUUAUAUGAUGAAAUUAAAGACGAGAUUGCACCUGUCGAGAUGGAACCUAUUGAUGUUACUAUUCAGCUUGCCAAUAGAGAUACUAUCUGCUCUUUGGGAGUUGUUAGAGAUGUUGAAGUCUUGUGUGGUAAAACUAAAUAUCCUACAGAUUUUCUUGUUCUUGCUACCACACAAGAUAGCUUUUGUCCCGUCAUAUUUGGCCAACCUUUCCUCAAUACUGUCAAUGCUCAUAUUGACUGUGAGAAGCAAACUGUCACUGUUGGCUUUGAAGGUGUGUCACAUGAAUUCAAUUUCUCCAAGUUUGGUAGACAACCUCAUGAAUUGUCUAGUAAGGAUGAAAUUAUUUCCCUAGCUUCUAUUGUUGUGCCUCCUACUGAUCCUUUAGAGCAAUACUUGCUUGAGCAUGAAAAUGAUAUGCAUAUGGAUGAAAGGAAUGAGAUAGAUAGAGUUAUCUUUGAACAACAUCCUAUCCUUAAGAAUAAUUUGCCUGUUGAACUACUUGGAGAUCCACCCCCACCAAAGGGUGAUCCUGUGUUUGAGCUUAAACAAUUACAUGAUACUCUUAAGUAUGCUUAUCUUGAUGAAAAAGAGAUAUAUCCUGUUAUUAUUAGUGCUAGCCUUUCAGAGCAUGAAGAAAAUAAAUUAUUGAAAACUCUGAGGAAGCACCAUGCUACUAUUGGAUAUACUCUUGAUGAUCUUAAGGGCAUUAGUCCCACUCUAUGCCAGCAUAAAAUUAAAACUGAUCCUGAUUCCAAACCAGUUGCCGAUCAUCAAGGAAGAUUAAAUCCUAAGAUGAAAGAGGUAGUAAGAAAGGAAAUACUAAAGCUCCUGGAAGCAGGUAUUAUCUAUCCUGUUGCUCAUAGUGAUUGGGUAAGUCCGGUGCAUUGCGUCCCUAAGAAGGGAGGUAUUACCGUUGUCCCUAAUGAUAAAGAUGAAUUGAUCCCACAGAGGAUUGUUACUGGCUAUAGGAUGGUAAUUGAUUUUAGGAAAUUGAAUAAAGCCACUAGGGAAGAUCAUUACCCUUUGCCUUUUAUUGACCAAAUGCUAGAAAGAUUGUCUAAACACACACACUUCUGUUUUCUAGAUGGUUAUUCUGGUUUCUCCCAAAUACCAGUGGCACAAUCUGAUCAGGAGAAAACCACUUUUACCUGCCCUUUCGGUACCUUUGCUUAUAGACGUAUGCCUUUUGGCUUAUGUAAUGCACCUGCUACCUUUCAAAGAUGUAUGAUGGUUAUAUUCUCUGACUUUUAUGAAAAGAUUGAUGAGGUUUUCAUGGAUGACUUAUCCGUUUACGGGUCUCUUGUGAUGAUUGCCUCAACAACCUUGAUCGAGUUCUGCAGAGAUGUAAAGAUACCAACCUUGUCUUGAAUUGGGAGAAGUGCCACUUUAUGGUUAAUGAAGGCAUCGUCUUGGAACAUAAAAUUUCCGAAAAAUGUAUUGAAGUCGAUAAGGCUAAAGUUGAUGCGGUCGAGAAAAUGCCAUGCCCUACAGACAUUAAAGGUAUAAGAAGUUUCCUUGGUCAUGAUGGUUUCUAUAGAAGGUUCAUUAAGGACUUCUCUAAGAUUUGUAGGCCUCUUACCAAUCUCUUGCAAAAGGAUAUUCCUUUUGUUUUUGAUGAUGAUUGUGAGGAAGCAUUUGAAAUACUUAAGAAGGCCUUGAUAACUGCACCUAUUGUUCAACCACCUGAUUGGAGCUUACCUUUUGAAAUUAUGUGUGAUGUUAGUGAUUAUGUUGUUGGUGCCAUUCUAGGACAAAGAGUUGAUAAGAAAUUGAAUGUUAUUCAUUAUGCUAGUAAAACUCUAGACAGUGCCCAAAGAAACUAUGCUACUACUGAAAAGGAAUUUUUAGCAGUCGUGUUUGCAUGUGAAAAGUUCAGAUCUUACAUUGUUGAUUCCAAAGUUACUAUUCACACUGAUCAUGCUGCUAUUAAGUAUCUUAUGGAAAAGAAAGAUGCUAAACCUAGACUUAUCAGAUGGGUUCUCUUGCUACAAGAAUUUGAUUUGCAUGUUGUUGAUAGGAAGGGUGCUGAGAACCCCGUAGCAGAUAACUUGUCUAGGUUGGAGAAUGUUCUUGAUGACCCACAACCUAUUGAUGAUAGCUUUCCGGAUGAACAAUUGAAUGUCAUCAAUGCUUCAUGUAGUACACCUUGGUAUGCUGAUUAUGCAAAUUAUAUUGUUGCCAAAUUUAUACCACCUAGUUUCACAUACCAACAAAAGAAGAAAUUCUUCUUUGAUUUGAGAUAUUACUUUUGGGAUGAUCCUCAACUUUAUAAAGAAGGAGUAGAUGGUGUUAUUAGACGUUGUGUACCUGAGCAUGAAUAGGGACAGAUCCUACAGAAGUGUCACUCCGAGGCUUACGGAGGACACCAUGCGGGAGAUAGAACUGCACACAAGGUAUUGCAAUCCAGAUUUUAUUGGCCUACUCUCUUCAAGAAUGCCCGUAAGUUUGUCUUGUCUUGUGAUGAAUGUCAAAGAAUAGGUAAUAUCAGUAAACGUCAGGAAAUGCCUAUGAAGUAUUCACUUGUCAUUGAACCAUUUGAUGUUUGGGGUUUUGAUUAUAUGGGACCUUUUCCAAAGUCUAACGGGUAUACUCAUAUUCUAGUUGAUGUUGAUUACGUUACUAAGUGGGUACAAGCUAUCCCAACUAGUAGUGCUGAUCACAAAACCUCUAUUAGGAUGCUUAAAGAAGUUAUUUUCCCUAGAUUUGGAGUCCCUAGAUAUUUAAUGACUGAUGGUGGUUCACAUUUUAUUCAUGGUGCUUUUCGUAAAACGCUUGCUAAGUAUGAUGUCAACCACAGAAUUGCAUCUCCUUACCAUCCUCAGUCCAGUGGUCAAGUAGAGCUAAGUAAUAGAGAAAUUAAACUAAUUCUGCAAAAGACUGUUAAUAGGUCUAGAAAUAAUUGGUCUAAGAAGCUUGAUGAUGCAUUGUGGGCUUAUAGAACUGCUUAUAAGAAUCCCAUGGGCAUGUCUCCGUACAAAAUGGUUUACGGUGAAGCAUGUCAUUUACCUCUUGAGCUAGAGCAUAAGGCUUAUUGGGCAAUCAAAGAGCUCAACUUUGAUUUCAAACUUGCUGGUGAGAAGAGGUUAUUUGAUAUUAGCUCACUUGAUGAAUGGAGAACUCACGCAUAUGAAAAUGCCAAGUUGUUUAAAGAAAAGGUUAAGAGGUGGCAUGAUAAAAGGAUACAAAAACGUGAGUUCAAUGUAGGUGAUUAUGUCUUGCUAUACAAUUCUUGUUUACGAUUUUUUGCAGGCAAGCUUCUCUCUAAAUGGGAAGGUCCUUACAUUGUUGAGGAAGUAUAUCAUUCUGGUGCCAUAAAGAUCAAGAACACGGAAGGUAAUUUUCUGAGAGUUGUAAAUGGGCAAAGAAUCAAGCAUUAUAUCUCAGGUACUCCCAUAAAUGUUGAAAGCAAUAUUAUUAAUACCAUAACUCCGGAGGAGUACAUAAGGGAUAUUUAUCAGCCUGUUUCAGACUCCAAAAACGAAGAGGUAUGUGAUUUGGUAAGUAAACCGACUCAAGAACUUUUCCAGUAGCAAUUUUUCUCCGUUUUGGAAUUUUUAGAAAAAUAGAAAAAUUUAAAGUAGUCCGGAAAGCGCACAAGGAGGCGACAGGCCUGCUAGGCCUACCCCCCUGGCCGCGCCUGGGUGGCUUGUGGGCACCUCGUGUGCCUCCCAGACUCCGUUUUCUGGUGGAAUACUCCUUUUGGUCGGGAAAAAUUCAUUAUAUAUUCUCCCGAAAGUUCUGACCCUCAUAUCACGCAAAUAUCCUCUGUUUUCAUUUCGAGCUACUGAGCACACAGAUCUAGAUCGCUAUGGCGUCCCCAAAAGUUCCGAAGGACAAGUUCUUCGAGAAGGUCAUCAAUCCCUACCUCGCGGGAGUCCUGCAACACCCUCAAUCUAUCGAGAUGCAUGAGGGGGUGCUGCACAUCCGUGAUGUUGAGGGGCCCAAGAAGACCGGAAGCAUGGAGGCGAGGCUCGAAGCAAUGGAUCAGCAAGUCUUAAAGUGCCAAGGGAUGGUGGAAUGCGGACUCAACGCCAACCACAUGAUGAUCACGGAGUUCACCAACAAGCACAAGAUCGAUGCCAAUGACAUUGGGAAGCACCUCUCGAGGCUCUAUGACAGAAUUGAUCACCUCCAAGCCCAGAUCUACGACCUGCAGAACCAAAACUGUGAGUAUGAGUAUAGAUUUGAAUCAAUAUGGUUGGCUGUAGAUUUGAGGAUUCCGGAGACUCGAUCAUCUUUCCAUGAUGGAGCACCGAUGCCUUGGAAGACAGAGAAUCAACCCUAGACUGCAACAACUCCACCACCAUCACCUUCGAAGGAAGACAAUUAAGCACGGGUAUGGGCACUCCUCUUGGCUUGUGCCAAGCUUGGGGGAGUUGCCCCGGUAUCGUAUCACCAUCACAUCUUUUGCCUUUACCUUUUUCUUAGUUCGAUCCUUUUUUGGUUUUAUCUUUAUCUAGUAGAAUAAAGUUUUUAGUAUGAUAUAGGCUUGAGUUUUGCUUUGUGUCACCCCAAUGUAUCCGAGUUCGUGAGUCAUAUAAUAAAGAGUGUUUUAGUUAAGGGCCUUGCCUCAUGCCAUGAUCUAAAGAAAAGAAUAAUAAAAGAACAAAAGCAUGAAAGAUCAUGUAAUGAUCUUAUGGGAAGUGAUGACUUCACAUAUAAAAAGAAUGUUGAUUGAAACUUGUUGUGGGUGGACAAACGUAGACCUUGGUCAUUGUUGCAAUUAAUAGGAAGUAAUAAAGAAGGAGAGGUUCACAUAUAAAUAUAUCAUCUUGGGUACCAUCUAUGAUUGUGAACACUCAUUAAACUAUUACAUGCUUAGAAGUAGAUGCUGGACAAGGAAGACAACAUAAUGAAUUAUGUUUGCUUGGUUUCGAACAAUGUUAUAAGACUAGAGAUCCCUUAGCAUAUGACGAUUGCUUCCACCUCAUAUUAGCCAAAACUUCCGCACUAAGUAGAGAUACUACUUGUGCAUCCAUAAACCUUCAACCCAGUUUUGCCAUGAGAAUCCACCAUACCUACCUAUGGAUUGAAUAAGAUCCCUCAAGUAAGUUGUCAUCGGUGCAAGCAACAAAAAUUGCUCCCUAAAUAUGUAUGAUCUAUUAGUGUGUGGAAAAUAAGCUUUGUACGAACCUGUGAUGAGGAAGACAUAAAAGCGACAGACUGCAUCAUAAAGUUCUUUAUCACAAGAGGCAAUAUAAAGUGACGUUCCUUCACACUAAGAGGUCACACCUCGAAACCUCAAAAGCGCAUGACAACCUCUGCUUCCCUCUGCGAAGGGCUUAUCUUGUACCUUUACUUUUUAUCCUUAUAAGAGUCAUGGUGAUCGACACCAAUUCCUUAUUUCGCCAUUAUCUUGGCUAACGUCACGUGCUAGGGAAAGAUCUAUAUUCAUAUGUCAACUUGGAAGUAAGUAUUCAUGAAUUAUUAUUGUUGACAUUACCCUUGAGGUAAGUAGUUGGGAGGCGAAACUAUAAGCCCCUAUCUUUCUCUGUGUCCAACUGAAACUUUGAUCUCAUGAGUACCACGUGAGUUUUAGCAAUUGUAGAAGACGAAAGGAUGAUUGAGUAUGUGGAUUUCCUUUACAAGCUCUUAUUUGACUCUUUCCGAUGUUUUGAUAAGUUGCAAUUGCAUCAAUGACUAAAGGCUAGUUGUAAGGUGGAUUUCCUUUACAAGCUCUUAUUUGACUCUCGCGACUCUGCUUGGUACUUGUAAGGUUGCUAGUAGUGUUAAUUACUCUUUGUAGUUGAUCCUAGUUGGAUUACUCGGUGGAAGAUCAUAUGUUCAGAUCCCUAAUGCUAUUCAAUACCUCUCUGGUCAUGAACAUAAUUAUGUUUUUUGAGUAGUCACUUUUGUUCCCGAGGACAUGGGAUAUGUCUUGCUAUAAGUAGUCAUGUGAAUUUGGUAUUUAUUCGAUAUUUUGAUGCGAUGUAUGUUGUCUUUCCUCUAGUGGUGUUAUGUGAACGUCAACUACAUGACAAUUCACCAUUAUUUGGGCCUAGAGGAAGGCAUUGGGAAGUAAUAAGUAGAUGAUGGGUUGCUAGAGUGACAGAAGCUUAAACCCUAGUUUAUGCGUUGCUUCGUAAGGGGCUGAUUUGGAUCCACUAGUUUAAUGCGAUGGUUAGACUUUGUCUUAAUUCUUCUUUCGUAGUUGCGGAUGCUUGCGAGAGGGGUUAAUCAUAAGUGGGAUGUUUGUCCAAGUAAGGGCAGCACCCAAGCACCGGUCCCCCCACAUAUCAAAAUAUCAAAGUAGCGAACGCGAAUCAUAUGAACAUGAUGAAAACUAGCUUGACAGAAAUUGCUAUGUGUCCUCGGGAGCGCUUCACCUCAUAUAAGAGUUUGUCCAGGCUUGUCCCUUGCUACAAAAGGGAUUGGGCCAUCUUGCUGCACCUUUGUUACUACUGUUACUUGCUACUUGCUACGAAUUAUCUUAUCACACAACUAUCUGUUACCGAUAAUUUCAGUGCCUGCAGAGAAUACCUUGCUGAAAACCACUUGUCAGUUCCUUCUGCUCCUCGUUGGGUUCGACACUCUUAUCGAAAGGACUACGAUAGAUCCCCUACACUUGUGGGUCAUCAAGACUCGUUUCUGGAGCCGUUGCCGGGGAGUGAAGCGCCUUUGGUAAGUGGAAUUUUGUAAGGAAACAUUUAUAUAGUGUGCUGAAAUUUAUUGUCACUUGUCACUAUGGAAACUAAUCCUUUUGAGGAGCUUGUUUGGGGUAUCUUCACCUCGAACGGAAUCACAAGGAGUUUCUCCUCAACCUGCUGCACCUACUGAAAAUAUUUGUUAUGAAAUUCCUUCGGGUAUGCUAGAUAAACUGUUGGCUAAUCCUUUUACAGGAGAUGGAACAUCACAUCCCGACUUGCAUCUAAUCCACGUAGAUGAAGUUUGUGGUUUAUUUAAGCUUGCAGGUUUUCCCGAGGAUGAGGUCAAGAAGAAGGUCUUUCCCUUAUCUUUGAGGGAUAAAGCAUGGACAUGGUAUAGGCUAUGUGAUGAUACUGGAUCAUGGAACUACAACCGAUUGAAAUUGGAAUUUCAUCAAAAGUUUUAUCCUAUGCAUUUGGUACAUCGUGAUCGGAAUUAUAUCUAUAAUUUUUGGCCUCGUGAUAGAGAAAGUAUCGCUCAAGCUUGGGGAAUUUCAUCAAAAGUUUUAUCCUAUGCAUUUGGCCUCGUGAUAUGAAUUAUCUUAUCACGCAACUAUCUGUUACCGAUAAUUUCAGUGCCUGCAGAGAAUACCUUGCUGAAAACCACUUGUCAGUUCCUUCUGCUCCUCGUUGGGUUCGUCACUCUUACUUAUCGAAAGGACUACGAUAGACCCCGUACACUUGUGGGUCAUCAUGGAGGUAAUCAUAUAUAUCUGAGUUAUGAGUUUGGUAAACGUUUAAGAAAAGGUGAAAAUUGUUUCACGUGAAAAAUGUUUCACGUGAAAAAUGUUUCACAACUCAUGCCACCUGGAACACCAUAGUCUGAUGGUGUGUCCGUAUGUCAUAAUCGUGCACUAUUAGACAUAGUGCAUACUAUGAUAUUUAUUAUCAAAUUACCACUAUCGUUUAUGGGUUAGGCAUUAGAGACAACCGCAUUCACUUUAAAUAGGGACACCACUCAAUUCCGUUGAGAUGACACGUAAGCUGUCAUUUCUUAAAAGUUUGGGGCUGCGAUGCUUAUGUGAAAGAGUUUCAGCCUUAUAAGCUCAAACCGAAAGCGGAUAGAUGCAUCUUCAUAGGACACCCAAAACAAUUGGGUAUACCUCCUAUCUCAGAUCCGGAAGCAAAUGUGUUUGUUUCUAGAAACGGGUCCUUUCUCGAGGAAAAGUUUCUCUUGAAAGAAUUGAGUGGGAGUUUUGGUGGAAACUUGAUGAGGUUAUGUGAACCAUCACUUCAACCAGUAUGUGUGUAGCAGGACACAUGAAGUUGUUCCUAUGGCGCCUACACCAAUUGAAGUGGAAGCUAAUGAUAGUGAUCAUGAGACUUUAGAUCAAGUUACUAGAAACCUCGUAGGUCGACAAGGUCACGUACUUCUACUACUGAGUGGUACAGUAACCCUGUCUUGAAGGUCAUAUUGUUGGACAACAAUGAACGUGCGAGCUAUGGAGAAGCGAUGGUGGGCCCGGAUUCCGACAAAUGGCUGGAGGCCAUGAAAUCCGAGAGAGGAUCCAUGUAUGAAAACAAAGUAUAGACUUUGGAAGAACCACUUGAUGGUCAUAAGACUAUUAACUGUGAAUGGAUCUUUAAAAGGAAGACACACGGUGAUGGUGAAAAGUCACCAUUAAGAAAGCUUGACUUGUCGCAAAGAUGUUUCCGACAAAGUUCAAAGAGUUGACUACGAUGAGACUUUCUCACUCGUAGCGAUGCUAAAAGUCUGUUGGAAUUAUGUUAGCAGUUGUUGCAUCAUUUAUGAAAUCUUGUAGAUAGGAUGUAAAAAUAUUGUUUCCUCAACGGUUUCCUUGAGGAAAGGUUGUAUGUGAUACAGCAAGAAGAUUUUGUCAAUCCUAAAGGGUGCUAACAAGUAUGCAAAGCUCCAGCGAUCCUUCUAUGGACUGGAGCAAGCAUCUCGGAGUUGGAAUAUAUACUUUGAUGAAGUGUUCAAAGUUUUUGGUUUUAUAAAGUUUAUGAGAAACUUGUAUUUCCAAAGAAGUCAGUGGGAGCACUAUAGAAUUUCUGAUGAAUAUAUGUGGUUGACAUAUUGUUGAUCGGAAAUAAUGUAGAAUUUCUGCAAAGCAUAAUGGGUUGUUUGAAAGGAUUUUUUUCAAAGGAAAACCUAGAUGUAGCUACUUGAGAGUCGAGCAUCAAGAUCUAUAAAGAUAGAUCAAAGUGCAUAAUGGAACUUUCAACGAAAUGCAUGCCUUGACAAGUUUUUGAAGGAGUUCAAAAUAGAUCAACAAAGAAGGAGUUCUUGCUAUGUCGUAAGGUGUAAAUUUGAGUAGGACUCAAAGCCCGACCACGACAGAAGAAAGAGAAAGGACGAAUGUCGCCCCCUAUGCAUCGGCCGUAGGCUCUAUAAGUAUGCUAUGCUGUGUACCGCACCUAAAGCAUGCCUUGCCAUGAGUCAGUCAUGGGGUACAAGAGUGAUCCAGGAAUGGAUCACUAGACAUCGGUCGAAGUUAUCCUUAGUAACUAAUGGACUAAGGAAUUUUUUCUCAAUUAUGGAGGUGAUUAAAUAGUUCGUCGUAAAGGAGUUACGUCGAUGCAAGCUUUGUCACUAAUCCGGAGGACUAUGAGUAGUAAACCGGAUUCGUAUAGUAGAGCAAUCAUUUGGAAUGGUUCCAGAUGGGGUGUAGUAGCAUCGAUAGGAUGACAUAGAGAUUUGUAAAGCACACACGGAUCUGAAAGGUUCAGACCCGUUGACUAUAAACCUCUCUCACAAGCAAGACAUGAUCGAACCCCAAAACUGUACGGGUGUUGCAUUCAUUGCAAUCACAUAGUGAUGUGAACUAGAUUAUUGACUCUAGUUCAAGUGGGAGACUGUUGGAAAUAUACCCUAGAGGCAAUAAUAAAAUAGUUAUUAUCAUAUUUCCUUGUUCAUGAUAAUCGUCUAUUGUUCAUGCUAUAAUUGUAUUAACAGGAAACAGUAAUACAUGUGUGAAUAAAUGUUGGAAUUAUGCCCUAGAGGCAAUAAUAAAUAUAGUUAUUGUUAUAAUUCCUGUAUCAAGAUAAUCGUUUAUUAUCCAUGCUAUAAUUGUAUUAAAUGAAGACUUAUAUACAUGUGUGGAUACAUAGACAAAACACUGUUCCUAGCAAGCCUCUAGUUGGCUAGCCAGUUGAUCAAAGAUAGUCAGUGUCUUCUGAUUAUGAACAAGGUGUUGUUGCUUGAUAACUGGAUCACGUCAUUAGGAGAAUCACGUGAUGGACUAGACCCAAACUAAUAGACGUAGCAUGUUGAUCGUGUCAUUUUGUUGCUACUGUUUUCUGCGUGUCAAGUAUUUGUUCCUAUGACCAUGAGAUCAUAUAACUCACUGACACCGGAGGAAUACUUUGUGUGUAUCAAACGUCGCAACGUAACUGGGUGACUAUAAAGAUGCUCUACAGGUAUCUCCGAAGGUGUUAGUUGAGUUAGUAUGGAUCGAGACUGGGAUUUGUCACUCCGUGUGACGGAGAGGUAUCUCGGGGCCCACUCGGUAAUACAACAUCACACACAAGCCUUGCAAGCAAUGUGACUUAGUGUAAGUUGCGGGAUCUUGUAUUACGGAACGAGUAAAGAGACUUGCCGGUAAACGAGAUUGAAAUAGGUAUGCGGAUACUGACGAUCGAAUCUCGGGCAAGUAACAUACCGAAAGGACAAAGGGAAUGACAUACGGGAUUAUAUGAAUCCUUGGCACUAAGGUUCAAACGAUAAGAUCUUCGUAGAAUAUGUAGGAUCCAAUAUGGGCAUCCAGGUCCCGCUAUUGGAUAUUGACAGAGGAGUCUCUCGGGUCAUGUCUACAUAGUUCUCGAACCCGCAGGGUCUGCACACUUAAGGUUCGACGUUGUUUUAUGCGUAUUUGAGUUAUAUGGUUGGUUACCGAAUGUUGUUCGGAGUCCCGGAUGAGAUCACGGACGUCACGAGGGUUUCCGGAAUGGUAUGGAAACGAAGAUUGAUAUAUAGGAUGACCUCAUUUGAUUACCGGAAGGUUUUCGGAGUUACCGGGAAUGUACCGGGAAUGACGAAUGGGUUCCGGGUGUUCACCGGGGGGGGGGGCAACCCACUCCGGGGAAGCCCAUAGGCCUUGGGGGUGGCGCACCAGCCCUUAGUGGGCUGGUGGGACAGCCCAAGAAGGCCCUAUGCGCCAUAGGAAGAAAAUCAAAGAGAAAAGAAAAAAAAGAGGAGGUGGGAAAAGGGGGAAGGACUCCUCCUUCCAAACCUAGAUGGACUCGGUUUGGAAGGGGAGGGUUGCCCCCCUUGGCUCGGCCGACCCCCUUGGGAGUCCUUGGACCCCAAGGCAAGGCUCCCCCUCCUCCCCCUAUAUAUACGGAGGUUUUAGGGCUUAUUUGAGACAACUUUGCCACGACAGCCCGACCACAUAUCUCCACGGUUUCACCUCUAGAUCGCGUUUCGGGGUAGCUCGGGCGGAGCCCUGCCGAGAUAAGAUCAUCACCAACCUCCGGAGCGUCGUCACGCUGCUGGAGAACUCUUCUACCUCUCCGUCUCUCUUGCUGGAUCAAGAAGGCCGAGAUCAUCGUCGAGCUGUACGUGUGCUGAACGCGGAGGUGCCGUCCGUUCGGCACUAGAUCGUGGGACUGAUCGCGGGACGGUUCGCGGGGCGGAUCGAGGGACGUGAGGACAUUCCACUACAUCAACCGCGUUACUUAACACUUCUGCUGUGCGGUCUACAAGGGUACAUAGAUCGAAUAUCCCCUCUCGUAGAUGGACAUCACCAUGAUAGGUCUUCGUGCGCGUAGGAAUUUUUUUGUUUCCCAUGCGACGUUCCCCAACAGUGGCAUCAUGAGCUAGGUUCAUGCGUAGAUGUCUUCUCGAGUAGAACACAAAAGUUUUGUGGGCGGUGAUGUGCAUUUUGCUGCCCUCCUUAGUCUUUUCUUGAGUCCACGGUAUUGUUGGAUUGAAGGGGCUUGGACCGACAUUACUCGUACGCUUACGAGAGACUGGUUUCAUCGCUAUGAGUAACCCCGUUGCUCAAAGAUGAUUGGCAAGUGUCAGUUUCUCCAACUUUAGUUGAAUCGGAUUUGACCGAGGAGGUCCUUGGAUGAGGUUAAAUAGCAACUCAUAUAUCUCCGUUGUGGUGUUUGCGUAAUUAAGAUGCGAUCCUACUAGAUACCCAUGGUCACCACGUAAAACAUGCAACAACAAAAUUAGAGGACGUCUAACUUGUUUUUGUAGGGUAUGCUUGUGAUGUGAUAUGGCCAACGAUGUGAUGUGAUAUAUUGGAUGUAUGAGAUGAUCAUGUUGUAAUAGAUAAUAUCAACUUGCACGUCGAUGGUACGGCAACCUGCAGGAGCCAUAGGGUUGUCUUUAUACUAACGUUUGUGCUUGCAGAUGCGUUUACUAUUUUGCUAGGAUGUAGCUUUAGUAGUAAUAGCAUGAGUAGCACGACAACCCCGAUGGCGACACGUUGAUGGAGAUCAUGGUGUGGCGCCGGUGACAAGAAGAUCAUGCCGGUGCUUGGUGAUGGAGAUCAAGGAGCAUGUGAUGAUGGCCAUAUCAUGUCACUUAUGAAUUGCAUGUGAUGUUAAUCCUUUUAUGCACCUUAUUUUGCUUAGAACGACGGUAGCAUUAUGAGGUGAUCUAUCACUAAAAUUUCAAGACGAAAUUGUGUUCUCCCCGACUGUGCACCAUUGCUACAGUUCGUCGUUUCGAGACACCACGUGAUGAUCAGGUGUGAUAGACUCAACGUUCACAUACAACGGGUGCAAAACAGUUGCGCACGCGGAACACUCGGGUUAAGCUUGACGAGCCUAGCAUGUGCAGACAUGGCUUCAGAACACAUGAGACCGAAAGGUCGAUCAUGAAUCAUAUAGAUGAUAUGAUUAGCAUAGGGAUGCUUACCACUGAAACUAUACUCAACUCACGUGAUGAUCGGACUUGAGCUAGUGUAAGUGGAUCAUGAACCACUCAAAUGACUAGAGAGAUGUACUUUUUGAGUGGGAGUUUAGCGAGUAAUUUGAUUAAGUUAAACUCUAAUUAUCUUGAACAUAGUCUAAGUCCACUUUGAAUAUAUUUGUGUUGUAGAUCAUGGCUCAUGCGACAGUCACCCUGAAUUUUAAUACGUUCCUAGAGAAAGCUAAGUUGAAAGAUGAUGGAAGCAACUUUGUAGACUGGGCUCGUAAUCUUAAGCUAAUCUUACAAGCUGGGAAGAAGGAUUAUGUCCUUAAUGCUACGCUAGGAGAUGAACCACCCGCUACGGCUGACCAGGAUGUUAAGAACGCUUGGUUAGCACGUAAGGAGGACUACUCAGUAGUUCAAUGUGCAGUCUUGUAUGGCUUAGAACCGGGACUUCAACGUCGCUUUGAGCAUCAUGGAGCAUUUGAGAUGUUCCAGGAGUUAAAGUUCAUCUUUUAGAAGAACGCCCGGAUCGAGAGGUAUGAGACCUCCAAUAAAUUCUAUUCUUGCAAGAUGGAGGAGAACUCGUCUGUCAGUGAACAUGUGCUCAAAAUGUCUGGGUACUCAAACCGUUUAGCUGAGCUGGGGAUUGAACUCCCGCAAGAGGCUAUCACUGACAGAAUCCUUCAAUCACUGCCGCCAAGCUAUAAAAGCUUUGUGUUGAACUAAAACAUGCAAGGGAUGAACAAGUCACCCGGCGAGUUGUUUGCGAUGCUGAAAGUCACAGAGUCUGAACUCCGUAAAGAACAUCAAGUGUUGAUGGUGAAUAAGACCACUAGUUUCAAGAGAAACGGCAAAGGCAAGAAGGGUAAUUCAAAGAAGAGCGGCAAGCCUGUUGCCAACCCGACGAAGAAACCCAAAGCUGGACCUAAGCCUGAAACAGAGUGUUACUAUUGCAAGGGUAUGGGUCACUGGAAGCGCAAUUGCCCCAAGUAUCUGGCUGAUAAGAAGGCGGCCAAAGAAAAAUCAGGUAUAUUUGAUAUACAUGUUAUUGAUGUGUACUUAACCGGCUCUCGUAGUAGUGCCUGGGUAUUCGAUACCGGUUCUGUUGCUCAUAUGUAACAUCCCAAAAUUAUAAAUUUUGGAAUGUUAAUAUAAUUAUUAGAUUGAUUGUUGUUUGUUUGCCGAGUGACUGAAACUUGUGUGAAUUUGAAACUUUUUGAAACUUUUGAAUGAGAGGGAAUAAAAUGACUUUCCCCUUCUCCGGGGAAUUCAAAUUCAAUCUUUUAAAAGCAACGAGAGAAGAUGACAUGACUUCUUCAACUAUAAAUAAUUUGAACGAAGAUAUUUGCAUUGAAUUCUUUUGCAUUUCCAUUUUUCCCUCGCGCGAGAAAUGCCCGGAGAAAUACUCUCUUGCAUGCAAGAGAGAGAGAGCGGAGGAAAAUGACACUCCAAAGUGCGGGCAAAUUUCUGAAAUAUUUGAGCCAAGAAAACCCAAGGAUUAUUUGCAAAAGUAUUUGCAAAAAAGAAAUAAAGCAAAUUUGGGAAUUUCUGAAAAAAAACAUUUUUUUAAAGUUUUUAUUUUUGCUUUGGAAAAAUGUUAUCGGGUAAAGAAUAUUUUUCUGAUUUUUUUGGUAUAUAAUACGCUAUAUUAAUAUUUUGAUUUAUUUCCUUUUUAUUCGUUUUUACUUUCUGUCUCGGAAAAAGUUAGAAAUAGGAAUGUUUUUUUUUCCUUUUAGCAACCGCCCUCGAGCGUUUAUUAGUCGUGGGCCGAAUCCCCACAGCCCCGGGAUCUAAAUCCCUUAAAGGCCGGCCACCCGCCCCACUCUUCCCCUCCCCUCUCUCACUGGCCAGUGGCCCCCACCACCCGAGCCUUCUCUCCCGUCGGUCACCACCUUCCUCCCCUUCCUAUUCUACUGCUCGAGGCCGAGACCGAGCCAAGCUCGGGAUUUCCUUCCCUGAUCUUCUCUACUCCUUCCUUAGCUCUCCCCCUCCUAGCCUAUAUAAGUACCCCCACCCGAGCCGCCCCCGUUCCCACCCCUACCCCGACGAGCCGCCGCCCGAAGCCCCUGCAGCACCUCGCCGGCAGCAGCACUGCCACCUUCUGCCCCGCCUCCUGGAGCGCCCCCUCCCCCGAGCCCCUCUCCGCCCCCCGAGCCCCACCCCGCGGAGAAGGAGCCCCGCCGCCGCCGCCCCGACUCCUCCACCCCCCCGGAACUCCCUCUCUCGCCGGCGACGCCCCACCUCGCCGGAGCUACCCCACAACCACGGUAGACUUCUCUUCCUCCCUGUGGUUCUUCUUUCUCUUUUUGUAACCGUUAGAUCUUGGAUAUAUGGUCUAGAUUAGAUCCCUAGUUACCCCUUUGGUUUAGUUCAGUAAACCAGCGGUUUAUUUUCACUUAUACUAUUAGCCAGUAGCUUCGGUUAGAGCUAGGCCGUUUGCUCAAAACGCUGCAAAAAACGCCCUCCGCAGCCAAUAGUAGCAUGCCACGUGUACCCCCUAUUUGUAGAUAGUUAGCUUCAGUUUUUUCUGUCUAGAUUGCAAAAACAGAAAGUUUCAAUCUUGUUUUGGCCACAACUUUUGAUCCCGAAGUCCAAUGACAUUGAUUCUUGUUCCAGUAGCUCACAAAUGUCCUGUAGUUUUUAAAAACAUAUAAUUUGUCUAUGUUUGAAAUAUUCAAAUAUAAGUUAGAUCAGAUUUAGUUUAAACCUUGUUUUGCCUAUUCCAGGAGUUUAAAAAUAGCUUUUAAUUUGAUUCCUUUUGGUACUGAUCACUAGUGAUCUUGUUUAUCAGUGGUAAAUAUUUCAGAUUUGUUUGAGUAUUUAGCUCACUGUUUCUUGUGAAACAAUUUUUGUUUCACCUCUUUUAGGAUUUCGGCUAAUUCCUUUUCUAUUUUUGUUUUAAAAUAUUUUCUUUAUUAUUUCUGAAAUAUUAUGUUUUGUUUCUGUUAGAUAAACAGUAGUUUUGCAACAAGUUUUUAUUUUAGUUUUAUUUGUUUUCAUGAAAUCAAUUCUAGUUCCUUAGUAACUUGCAAUUGGUUUCCACAUUGUUUCAAAUCCCGUUUGGGAGUACUUUCAAAUAGUUUUGUGAAAAAUACUUUAUUUUAUCUUAGUUCCUUGUUAUUAUUUUCUGUUGGACAAAAAUCAUUUAGUGUUUGAUGUAGUAGAAGACUCCCUAGUCUUAUUUGAAGUUUCUUUCGAAUUCUUAUUCGCUCUCUCUUUUGUUUUGAUUGCUAGAAUGAUUGCUAGUAUGAGUGCUUAUGUGAAUGAUAUGUUUGUUAUAUAGAUUUCAUCGGAGAGUGACGAGUAGUCUAUCAAGUUGUUUCUCGAGAAUUUUCUUCUUCGUCAACAUCACCAGGCAAGUCACUUUGAUCAUACUAUCACCUAUGUUUUAUGCAUCGUAGUUCUACCAUCCUAUGCCCAAUUGCAUGCUGAGUAGGACUUGGAAAUUUUAGUAUAGAUUGUAGUAUCAUGUGGUAGGCACACAACAACCCCGAUACUUGGCCCCGGGACGACAAAUUUCAUAUUGCUAUGCUUGAGUAGACGGGAUUUCGGUUCAGUGCUUAAUACGAGUGAUGCGAGGUUGAAUAAAUAAUCAAGACCUGUUAAGACAAGAUUUUCAAGACGUCGGACGCAAUGCAACACUUGGUGAAGGACGGUUGAUCGGCUCCCUGGGGAACCCAGUGGAUGCCCGGGAUGCUGGGGACGGCCGUGACAUCCUGCGGAAAGCUUCACCCAGGCUCAAAGGGACGGACGGAUAUUUUCAAGACCCAAGGCUUACCUGCACAGCCACAAGUCAUUAUGGGCUCUGGCUUGGUUGGACAACGCGGCGACUCUAGACUGGCGGUGCUAGCAGAUGUAGAAGAACGGUAGGAUUGGAUGGGCACCGACAGGGAUUCAGAGGGACCCGUUGAAAGACCAUGUUUUGAUCAUCCGGUCUUCAAACACCCUGAAGUGCGAGGACAUACUCGGAGGCGAUCAAAUCUUGUGGGGAACGUGUGCAAAACUCUGCAGAGUACUGAAACCUAAUCGAUUAGCCAUGUCCACGGUCAUGGACAUCUUGAGCCAAAGGAACUGAAGUUAUCUGAAAUUCUCAACACAAAUAAUAAUAUUGAUGUGGGUAUUAUUGACAACAUGGGUACGAGAAUUGGUUGGUGGAACCAUCUCGUUAACAACCAACAAUGUAGUAACAUUUUGCUUUUAGCCCUCUCUUGAUGUAGGAUAAAACUUGCUUUUCGCUAAAAACUUAUAGCCCCACCUGCCAUAUAUGCAUAUAGUAUAGAUGAUUACUUUUCACCCCUCUCUUAUGUGACUUGCCGGCAUAUUCAAUAUGCUGACCUACACGGCUGCAACGUCUUAUGUUGCAGAUAUUGUUCUUCGACGAGUAAGAGUACGAUUCGGGGUUACGGUCUACACUCAACUUGCCGUUCGUGUUUUUGGGACUCCACUCCCUUGACCGCUUCCGCUGAAAUAUUUAAGGUAUAUAUCAGUUUUACGCUAUUUACAUGUGAUUGCACUUUGAUAUAUACAUUGAUGUACUGUGUGUGCCAGCAUACUGAUCCAGGGAUGGCACAGAAACACAGAGGCUUGGCUCGUUUUGAGUCGGGUCGCUACAUCAUAUUUGCAACUCGAAACAGGAACUGCGGAAUAGACGAAGGCUGGCGAAAGAUGAAGUGACGAUGCGCAUAGGAAAUGGUUCCAAGGUUGAUGCAAUCGCCGUCGGCACAGUUUCACUUCAGUUACCAUCAGGAUUAGUUAUGAACUUGAAUCAUUGUUAUUUAGUGCCUGCGUUGAGCAUGAACAUUAUAUCUGGAUCUUGUUUAUUGCGAGACGGUUACUCUUUUAAGUCAGAGAAUAAUGGUUGUUCUAUUUCUAUGAGUAACAUCUUUUAUGGUCAUGCACCCAAUGUGAGAGGAUUGUUCAUGUUGAAUCUUGAUAGCGAUACACACAUACAUAACAUUGAGACCAAAAGAGUUAGAGUUAACAAUGAUAGCGCCAUAUUUUUGUGGCACUGCCGCUUAGGUCAUAUUGGUGUAAAGCGCAUGAAGAAACUCCAUGCUGAUGGACUUUUGGAGUCACUUGACUUUGAUUCACUUGACACGUGCGAACCAUGCCUCAUGGGCAAGAUGACUAAAACUCCGUUCUCCGGAACAAUGGAGCGUGCAAGUGACUUGUUGGAAAUCAUACAUACCGAUGUGUGUGGUCCGAUGAGCGUAGAGGCACGCGGCGGAUAUCGUUAUUUUCUCACCUUCACUGACGAUUUGAGUAGAUAUGGUUAUGUCUACUUAAUGAAGCACAAGUCUGAAACAUUUGAAAAGUUCAAGCAAUUUCAGAGUGAAGUUGAAAAUCAUCGUAACAAGAAGAUCAAGUUCCUACUGUCUGAUCGUGGGGGUGAAUAUCUGAGUUUCGAGUUUGGUGCUCACUUAAGACAAUGUGGAAUUGUUUCACAGUUGACACCGCCUGGAACACUACAGCGUAAUGGUGUGUCCGAACGUCGUAAUCGUACUUUAUUAGAGAUGGUGCGAUCUAUGAUGUCUCUUACCGAUUUGCCGUUAUCGUUUUGGGGUUAUGCAUUAGAAAUAGCUGCAUUCACUUUAAAUAGGGCACCAUCAAAAUCUGUUGAGACGACACCAUACGAAAUGUGGUAUGGCAAAAGGCCAAAGUUGUCGUUUCUUAAAGUUUGGGGAUGUGAUGCUUAUGUCAAAAAGCUUCAGCCUGAAAAGCUGGAACCCAAAGCGGAAAAGUGCAUCUUCAUAGGUUACCCAAAAGAGACAGUUGGGUACACCUUCUAUCUCAAAUCCGAGGGCAAAGUGUUUGUUGCUAAAAAUGGAGCUUUUCUCGAGAAGGAGUUUCUCUCGAGAGAAUUGAGUGGGAGGAAGAUAGAACUUGAUGAGGUUGCCGAACCUCUCAUCCCUCUAGAUGGUGGCGCAGGGCAAGGGGAAACCUCUGUCGUUGCGACGCCGGUUGAGGAGGAAGUUAAUGAUGAUGAUCAUGAAACUCCGGUUCAAGUUUCUGUCGAACCACGCAGGUCGACGAGACCACGUGUUGCUCCAGAGUGGUACGGUAAUCUCGGCUUGCCAAUCAUGUUGUUAGACAACAAUGAACCUGCAAGUUAUGAAGAAGCAAUGGUGGGCCCGGAUUCCAACAAAUGGCUAGAAGCCAUGAAGUCCGAGAUUGGAUCCAUGUAUGAGAACAAAGUGUGGACUUUGGAAGUACUACCUGAGGGCCGCAAGGCUAUUCAGAACAAAUGGAUCUUUAAGAGGAAGACAGACGCUGACGACAAUGUGACCGUUUAUAAAGCUUGACUUGUGGCAAAGGGUUUUUCACAAGUUCAAGGAGUUGACUACGAUGAGACAUUCUCACCCGUAGCGAUGCUUAAGUCUGUUAGAAUCAUGUUAGCAAUAACUGCAUUUUUCGAUUAUGAAAUCUGGCAGAUGGAUGUCAAAACGGCGUUCCUUAACGGUUUCCUUAAGGAAGAGUUGUAUAUGAUGCAACCCGAAGGUUUUGUCGAUCCUAAGAAUGCUAACAAAGUGUGCAAGCUCCAGCGAUCCAUUUAUGGACUGGUGCAAGCAUCUCGGAGUUGGAACAAACGCUUUGAUGAGGUGAUCAAAGCAUUUGGGUUUAUACAAGUGGUUGGAGAAUCUUGUAUUUACAUGAAAGUGUGUGGGAGCUCUGUGGCGUUUCUAAUAUUAUAUGUGGAUGACAUAUUGCUGAUUGGAAACAACGUAGAGUUUUUGGAGAGCAUAAAGGAUUACUUGAAUAAAAGUUUCUCUAUGAAGGACCUAGGAGAAGCUGCUUACAUUCUAGGCAUUAAGAUCUACAGGGAUAGAUCAAAACGCCUGAUAGGACUUUCACAAAGCACAUACCUUGAUAAAGUUUUGAAGAGGUUCAAAAUGGAACAGUCCAAGAAAGGGUUCUUGCCAGUUUUACAAGGUACGAGAUUGAGUAAGACUCAGUGCCCAGCAACUGAUGAGGAUAGAGAGCAUAUGAGCACCGUCCCCUAUGCUUCAGCCAUAGGUUCUAUCAUGUAUGCAAUGCUGUGCAAUAGACCGGACGUUAGCCUAGCCAUAAGUAUGGCAGGUAGGUUCCAGAGUAAUCCAGGAGUGGAUCACUGGACGACGGUCAAGAAUAUCCUGAAGUACCUGAAAAGGACUAAGGAGAUGUUUCUCGUGUAUGGAGGUGACGAAGAGCUCGCCGUAAAAGGUUACGUCGAUGCAAGCAUCGACACAGAUCUGGACGACUCUAAGUCGCAGACCGGAUACGUAUUUAUUCUUAAUGGGGGUGCGGUAAGCUGGUGCAGUUCCAAGCAGAGCGUCGUAGCAGAUUCUACAUGUGAAGCUGAGUACAUGGCUGCCUCGGAGGCGGCUAAGGAGGGUGUCUGGAUGAAGCAGUUCAUGACGGAUCUUGGAGUGGUGCCAAGCGCACUGAAUCCAAUAACCUUGUUCUGUGACAACACGGGUGCCAUUGCCCUAGCAAAGGAACCACGGUUUCACAAGAAGUCCAGACACAUCAAACGACGCUUCAACCUCAUCCGCGACUACGUCGAAGGGGAGGACGUGAAUAUAUGCAAAGUGCACACGGAUCUGAAUGUAGCAGACCCGCUGACUAAACCUCUUCCACGGGCAAAGCACGAUCAACACCAGAACUGUAUGGGUGUUAGAUUUAUUACAAUGUAAUUCGCAUGAUGAUGUGAGGGCUAGAUUAUUGACUCUAGUGCAAGUGGGAGACUGUUGGAAUUAUGCCCUAGAGGCAAUAAUAAAUAUAGUUAUUAUUAUAAUUCCUGUAUCAAGAUAAUCGUUUAUUAUCCAUGCUAUAACUGUAUUAAAUGAAGACUUAUAUACAUGUGUGGAUACAUUGACAAAACACUGUCCCUAGCAAGCCUCUAGUUGGCUAGCCAGUUGAUCAAAGAUAGUCAGUGUCUUCUGAUUAUGAACAAGGUGUUGUUGCUUGAUAACUGGAUCACGUCAUUAGGAGAAUCACGUGAUGGACUAGACCCAAACUAAUAGACGUAGCAUGUUGAUCGUGUCAUUUUGUUGCUACUGUUUUCUGCGUGUCAAGUAUUUGUUCCUAUGCCCAUGAGAUCAUAUAACUCACUGACACCGGAGGAAUACUUUGUGUGUAUCAAACGUCGCAACGUAACUGGGUGACUAUAAAGAUGCUCUACAGGUAUCUCCGAAUGUGUUCGUUGAGUUAGUAUGGAUCGAGACUGGGAUUUGUCACUCCGUGUGACGGAGAGGUAUCUCGGGGCCCACUCGGUAAUACAACAUCACACACAAGCCUUGCAAGCAAUGUGACUUAGUGUAAGUUGCGGGAUCUUGUAUUAUGGAACGAGUAAAGAGACUUGCCGGUAAACGAGAUUGAAAUAGGUAUGCGGAUACUGACGAUCGAAUCUCGGGCAAGUAACAUACCGAAAGGACAAAGGGAAUGACAUACGGGAUUAUAUGAAUCCUUGGCACUAAGGUUCAAACGAUAAGAUCUUCGUAGAAUAUGUAGGAUCCAAUAAGGGCAUCCAGGUCCCGCUAUUGGAUAUUGACCGAGGAAUCUCUCGGGUCAUGUCUACAUAGUUCUCGAAGCCGCAGGGUCUGCACACUUAAGGUUCGACGUUGUUUUAUGCGUAUUUGAGUUAUAUGGUUGGUUACCGAAUGUUGUUCGGAGUCCUGGAUGAGAUCACGGACGUCACGAGGGUUUCCGGAAUGGUCCGGAAACGAAGAUUGGUAUAUAGGAUGACCUCAUUUGAUUACCGGAAGGCUUUCGGAGUUACCGGGAAUGACGAAUGGGUUCCGGGUGUUCACCAGGGGGGGGGGCAACCCACCUCGGGGAAGCCAAUAGGACUUGGGGGUGGCGCACCAGCCCUUAGUGGGAUGGUGGGACAGCCCAACAAGGCCCUAUGCACCAUAGGAAGAAAAUCAAAGAGAAAAUAAAAAAAAAGAGGAGGUGGGAAAAGGGGGAAGGACUCCUCCUUCCAAACCUAGUUGGACUCGGUUUGGAAGGGGAGGGUUGCCCCCCUUGGCUCAGCCGACCCCCUUGGGAGUCCUUGGACCCCAAGGCAAGGCUCCCCCUCCUCCCCCUAUAUAUACGGAGGUUUCAGGGCUGAUUUGAGACAACUUUGCCACGGCAGCCCGACCACAUAUCUCCACAGUUUCACCUCUAGAUCGCGUUUCUGCGGAGCUCGGGCGGAGCCCUGCCGAGAUAAGAUCAUCACCAACCUCCGGAGCGCCGUCAUGCUGCCGGAGAACUCUUCUACCUCUCCGUCUCUCUUGCUGGAUCAAGAAGGCCGAGAUCAUCGUCAAGCUGUACGUGUGCUGAACGCGGAGGUGCCGUCCGUUCGGCACUAGAUCGUGGGACUGAUCGCGGGACGGUUCGCGGGGCGGAUCGAGGGACGUGAGGACGUUCCACUACAUCAACCGCGUUACUUAACGCUUCUGCUGUGCGGUCUACAAGGGUACGUAGAUCGAAUAUCCCCUCUCGUAGAUGGACAUCACCAUGAUAGGUCUUCGUGCGCAUAGGAAAUUUUUUGUUUCCCAUGCGACGUUCCCCAACAAUAAAUAGAUCACAAUGUGUCCCUAGCAAGCCUUUAAUUGGCUAGCUCGUUGAUCAAUAGAUUAUCAUGGACAUUAGAUGUCAUUGAUAAUGGGAUCACAUCAUUGGGAGAAUGAUGUGAUGGACAAGACCCAAUCCUAAGCAUAGCACUAGAUCGUGUUGUUUGUAUGCUAAAGCUUUUCUAAUGUCAAGUGUCUUUUCCUUCGACCGUGAGAUUGUGCAACUCCCGGAUAUCGUAGGAGUGCUUUGGGUGUAUCAAACGUCACAACAUAACUGGGUGACUAUAAAACUGCACUACGGGUAUUGCUAUUUCUCAAACAACAGCGCCAAAAAUUGACACGUUGACGGAGACUGGGCUUGCGUUGGUUUUUCCCUUGAAGAGGAAAGGGUGAUGCAGCACAGGAGCAGUAAGUAUUUCCCUCAGUUUGAGAACCAAGGUAUCGAUCCAGAAGGAGGGUCUCGUCAAGUCCAGAGUACCUGCGCAAACACAAACGAGCUUGCACCCAACGCUUCAAAGGGGUUGUCAAUCCCUUCAAGAUUGUUUGCAAAGUGAGAUCUGAAGGCGGAAAGUGCAACGAAGUAAAAAGUCUAAGGCUGAAAAUAUGAUGUGGAGUAGACCCGGGGGCCAUAGUGUUCACUAGAGGCUUCUCUCAAAAUAGCAAAUAUCACGGUGGGUAAACAAAUUACUGUCGAGCAAUUGAUAGACCCGCACAAAGUCAUGACGAUAUCUAAGGCAAUGAUCAUACAUAUAGGCAUCAUGUCCGAGACAAGUAGACCGAUAAUUUCUGCAUCUACUACUAUUACUCCACACAUCGACUGCUAUCCAACAUGCAUCUAGUGUAUUGAGUUCAUGACGAACAGAGUAACGCCUUAAGCAAGAUGACGUGAUGUAGAGGGAUAAUCUCAAACCAAUGAUGAAAACCCCAUCUUUUUACCCUUGAUGGCAACAACACGAUGCGUGCCUCGCUACCCCUUCUGUCACUGGGUGAGGUCACGGCACGGUAUGAACCCAAAAUCAAGCACUUCUCCCAUCGCAAGAAUCAUAGAUCUAGUUGGCCAAACAAAACCCACAACUCGAAGAGAAUUACAAGGAUAUGAAAUAAUGCAUAAGAGAGAUCAGGAGAAACUCAAAUAAGAUUCAUAGAUAAUCUGAUCAUAAAUCCACAAUUCAUCAGAUCUCGACAAACACACCGCAAAAGAAGAUUACAUCGGAUAGAUCUCCAUGAAGAUCAUGGAGAACUUUGUAUUGAAGAUCCAAGAGAGAGAAGAAGCCAUCUAGAUACUAACUAUGGACUCGUAGGUCUAUGGUGAACUACUCACACAUAUGGUGUUAAUGAAGAAGCCCUCUGUGUCCGAAUCCCCCCUUCGGCACGGCACCAGAACGUGCCCCAGAUGGGAUCUUGCCGAGAUAGAAGUUUGCGGCCGCGGAAAAGUGAUUUCGAUGAUCUCCGGAUUUUUUUGGGAUUUUUAGGGAAUAUAUAGGCGCAACCCCUAGGGCAGAGGGCGCCCAGGGGGCCCACAAGCAUGUGGGCCGCAGCCGACCCCCUGGCCGCGGGGUUGGGGCUUGUGGGUCCCCUGAGGCUCCCCUUCCUUGGCUCCCAAGCUUCCCGAUCUUCUUCCGUUACAAAAAAAAUAUUUUCGGGGUUUUUCUUCCGUUUGGACUCCGUUUCAAAAUCUCCUCUGAAAGGGGUCAAAAACAUGGAAAGACAAGAACUGGCACUUGGCACUGAGUCAAUAAGUUAGUCCCAAAAAAUAUAUAAAAGGCAUGCAAAAUAUCCAAAGUUUGACAAGAUAAUAGCAUGAAACCAUAAAAAAUUAUAGGUACGUUGGAGACGUAUCAAGCACCCCCAAGCUUAACUCCUGCCCGUCCUCGAGUAGGGAAGUGAUAAAGAAUGAAUUUUUGAUGUGGAAUGCUACCUAUCAUAGUUGUCCUUCGCAACUUCUUUCACGUGACAUGAAUGUUCAGAUCCGUAAGAUUCAAAGCAAUAAUACUCCAAGCAAACUAGCAAGGUAAUCAUGAACUUUCGAAAUAAUAAGGCCAAGGAAAGUUAUCCCUACAAAAUCAUAUAGUCUGGCUAUGCUCCAUCAUCCUCACACAACGAAUGUAAAUCAUGCACAACCCCGGUAUUGGCCAAAUAAUUGUUUUCACACUCUUACUUUCUCAAACUUUUUAUAACUAUCACGCAAUACAUGAGCGCGAGCCAUGGAUAUAGCACUAUAAUUGGAAUGGAGUGUGGUGGUGGUUGUGAGACAAAAAGGAGGAGAUGGUCACAUUGACUCGGCGUAUCAAAGGGCUAUGGAGAUGCCCAUUAAUAGAUAUCAAUGUGAAUGAGUAGGGAUUGCCAUACAAGAGAUGCACUAGAGCUAUAAGUAUGUGAAAGCUCAAAAGGAAAACUAGUGGGUGUGCAUCCAACUUGCUUGCUCACGAAGACCUAGGGCAAUUUUGAAGAAGCCCAUCAUUGGAAUAUACAAGCCAAGUUAUAUAAUGAAGAUUCCCACUAGCAUAUGGUGGCGACGAAGCAAGAAGCUCUCAAUCAUGAAGAAGAUGGUGCUAUUAUGAAACACAAGUGUGGAAAAAGAUAGUAGCAUUGUCCCUUUUUUUUCAUUUGGGCUCUUAGGCCUCUUUUUUUCUCUUUUGUUUUUGUUUUUGGGCUCUUUGGCCUCUUUAUUUAUUUAUUUCCUCACAUGGGACAAUGCUCUAGUAAUGAUGAUCAUCACACUUUUAUUUACUCACAACUCAAAAUGAUGAUGACUCUAAAGGAAAUGCCUCCGGAAGUAUACCGGGAUGUGCAACGAUCUAGCAUGGCGUAUGACAUUGAAAACAUGUCGCUAGCUAUCUUACGAUCAUGCAAUGGCAAUAUGAGAGUGACGACACAAGUCAUGAGACGGAACGGUGGGAGUUGCAUGGCAAUAUAUCUCGGAAUGGCUAUGAAAAUGCCAUAGUAGGUAUGUAUGGCGGCUGUUUUGAGGAAGGCAUAUGGUGGGUUUGUGUACCGGCGAGAAUUGCCGACACUAAAGAGGCUAGAAAUGGUGGAUGGUGAAAGUGCAUCUAUACCAUGGACUCACAUCAGUCAUGAAGAACUCACAUACUUGUUGCGAAAGUUUUUAUUAGUAAUCGAAACAAAGUGCUAAACGCAUACUCCUAGGGGAAGGGUUGGUAGGUGUUAACCAUCGCGCGAUCCCGACCUCAACACAAAGGAUGACAAUCAAUAGAUCAAUUAUGCUCCGACUUCCUAACAUAGCGGUUCACCAUACGUGCAUGCUACGGGAAUCACUAACUUCAACACAAGUAUUUCUAGAUUCACAACGCCCUACUAACAUAACUCUUAAUAUUACCGAAUCCACGUCUCAAAACUAAUUGAGAGGAAUCAAGACUUCUCUUUCUACUCAAUGCACAUGAAUAUGGAGGUUUUGUAUCCUCUUUGGGUACCUAUCACCUUUGGGACUACUUUCAUAGCAUAAGCCAACUACCAAGUCACGCACCGCCGUGCUCUAAAAGAUAUAAGUGAAGAACAUAGAGCAAAAUUAUCUAGCUCAAAAGAUAUAAGUGAAGCACUAUGAGCAUUCUAGCAAAAUAACGAUGAGUGCAUGUCUCUCUCUCUCAAAAAGGUGUGCAGCAAGGAUGAUUGUGACACAACAAAAAGAAAAGACUACUAUGAUACAAGACGCUCCAAGCAAAACACAUAUCAUGUGGUGAAUAAAAAUAUAGCUCCAAGUAAUGUUACCGAUGGAUUGAAGACGAAAGAGGGGAUGCCUUCCCGGGGCAUCCCCAAGCUUAGGAUUUUUGGUGUCCUUUAAUUUGGCUUGGGAUGCCCCAAUAUUGAGCUAUUUCCACUCCUUAUCUCAUCGUCCAUGAGAACAUCACCCAAAACUUGAAAACUUCACAACACAAAACUUAAACAAAAACUUGUGAUAACAUUAGCACAAGAAAACAAACUACCACUUCUUUUGGUACUGUAGCAAACUUGAAUUCCAUCUAUAUUGGUGUUGGGCUACUAUAUUCUCACUUUUCGAUGGCUAGUACCCCCCGAUACUAACCAUAGUUUCAUCAAAACAAGCAACCAACUGAACAAAAGCAGAAUCUGUAAAAAAUAGACCAGUCUGUAGCAAUAUGUAUACUUUGUAUACUUCUGGUACCUCAAAAAAUCAGAAACAUUACGAAGGCGUGGGAAAAAAGCAUAUCAACCAGCAGCAAAAAGAAUCAACUCAAAAACUCUAUCUGAAUAAAAAUUAAAAAUCAUCUCGUGAGCGAAAAGUUUCUGUCUUUUUCCAGCAAGAUCAAACAACCAUUACCAAGACUAGUCAUAAAGGUUUUGCUUGGCUCAAACACAAAUAGAAACACAAAAAACACAAUCACAAUAGAAUUGUGAUGGUGUGGACGCAAUAAAACAAAAAGAAAAAAGGAUAAAUUUAUUGGGUUGCCUCCCAACAAGCGCUAUUGUUUAACGCCCUUAGCUAGGCAUAAAAGCGACAGAAUCACGUAUCGUCGUCUUUGGUGCUCAAACCAUAAGUGGCCCUCAUCAUGGAUUCAUAAGGCAAUCUUAUUUUAUUUCUAGGAAAGUGUUCCAUGCCCUUCCUUAAAGGAAAUUGAAAUCUAAUAUUCCCUUCCUUCAUAUCGAUGAUAGCACCGAUAGUCCUUAGGAAAGGUCUACCAAGAAUAAUAGGGCAAGUAGGAUUGCAAUCAAUGUCAAGCACAAUGAAAUCCACGGGUACAUAGUUCCUAUUUGCAAUAAUAAGAACAUCAUUGAUCCUUCCCAUGGGUUUAUUGAUAGUAGAAUCAGCAAGAUGCAAAUUAAGAGAACACUCUUCAAUCUCAUUAAAACCCAGAACAUCACAUAAAGACUUUGGAAUCGCAGAAACACUAGCACCCAAAUCACACAAAGCAUUGCACUCAUAGUUUUUGAUUUUGAUUUUGAUGGUAGGUUCCCACUCAUAAUGAAGCUUUCUAGGGAUAGAGACUUCCAAUUCAAGUUUCUCUUCAAGAGAUUUUAUCAUAGCUUCGACGAUAUAAUCGGUAAAGGCCUUGUUUUGGCUAUAAGCUUGUGGAGAGUUUAACAUGGAUUGCAUCAAAGAAAUGCAUUCAAUCAAGGAGCAACUGUCAUAAUUGAAUUCCUUGAAAUCCACGGUAGUAAUUUCAUUACUACUCAAAGUUUUAACAUCUUCUACUCCACUUUCAAUGCUUUUAGCAUCAAGAUAGAUGAACUCUGAAUCAUUGGGGCACUUUUCAACCAAAGUGGAUUCAUAUCCAGCCCCUUAAUCAUUAGGUUUUACACAAGAAAACAAAGAUUCAAUGAGAGUCACACCAAGCACUUUAAGAUCUUCGUGAUUCUCAUCACGAGAACACGCCUUUUUAAGCCAUUCAUGUCUAGCACGAAUUUUGGCGGUUCUUUCUUGGCUCUCAAUCAUGGAAACACGCAUAGCUUUCAAAGUUUCAUCCAUGUUGGUUUUUGGAGGAGCACAUCUAACUUUCAAAGCAUCAACAUCACUAGACAUUCUAUCAACGCUCUUAGCAAAAUCGUCAAUCUUGAGUAGCUUUGCCUCUAUGGACGCAUUGAAAAUCUUUUGAGAGUUGAUGAACUCUUUGAUAUUACUCUAUAGAUAAGAGGGUAAUCUAUUGUAAUUUAUAUGAGUAUUGUUGUAGGACUUGCCAAGAUUAUGAGAGGAGUUACUAGGAAAAGGCCUAGGAACAUAGUUUCCUCCAAAAGCAUUGUUGUUGCCAAAGUUAUUCCUUCCAACAAAAUUAACGUCCAAGCUAGCGUUGCUACUCUCAAUCAGUAAAGACAAAGGCAUAUCAUUAGGAUCCAAAGGAGCACUUCUACUAGCAACCAAAUUCAUUAACUCGUCCAUCUUAGCACUCAACGAGUUAAUUUCCUCUAUAGCGUGUACCUUCUUAUUAGUAGGUGACCUUUUAGUGUGCCACUGAGAGUAGUUCGUCAUGAUAUUGUCUAAGAUCUUUGUGGCUUCUCCUAACGUGAUUUCCAUGAACGUUCCACCUGAGGCGGAGUCCAAGAUAUUUCUAGAAGCGAAAUUCAAGCCAACGUAAAAGAUUUGAAUAAUCAUCCAAAGGCUCAAGCCAUGAGCGGGACAAUUUCGAAUCAUUAAUUUCAUUCUCUCCCAAGAUUGUGCAACAUGUUCAUGAUCAAGUUGAUUGAAAUUCAUGAUAUCAUUCCGGAGAUAGAUGAUCUUAGUCGGCGGAAAAUACUUGGAUAUAUAAGCAUCUUUGUACUUAUCCCAAGAAUCGAUACUAUUUUUGGGCAAAGAAGAAAACCAAGUUUUUGCGCGAUCUCGCAACGAGAAAUGAAAAAGCUUCAACUUAAUCACGUCAUUAUCCACAUCUUUAUUCUUUUGCAUAUCGCAAAGCUCAAUGAAGGUAUUGAGAUGGGAUGCGGCAUCUUCACUAGGAAGGCCAGAGAAUUGUUCUUUCAUAACAAGAUUCAGCAAAGCGGCAUUGAUUUCGUAUGACUCCGCACUAGUGGCGGGAGCAAUCGGAGUACUAAUAAAAUCAUUAUUAUUAGUAUUCGAGAAGUCACAAAGUUUGGUGUUUUCGUUCAUGGUGACUUCAGCAAGCAAGCAGACACACAAGGAAACAAAGAGCACACGAGAAAAAGGGCGAACGAAAAGGCAAACGAAAAGGGCAAAUUGGUGAAGUGGGGGAGAGGAAAACGAGAGGCAACUCGCAAACAAACUAAAUGCAAGAGAUGAGUUUGCGACACCUACUUGGAUGAGUUCUUGACUUGAUCUUCCUCCCCUACAACGGCGCCAGAAAUCCUUCUGCUACUUCUCAAACAGCAGCGCCAAAAAUUGACAUGUUGACGGAGACCGGACUUGCGUUGGUUUUUCCCUUGAAUAGGAAAGGUUGAUGCAGCACAGGAGCAGUAAGUAUUUCCCUCAGUUUGAGAACCAAGGUAUCGAUCCAGAAGGAGGGUCUCGUCAAGUCCAGAGUACCUGCGCAAACACAAACGAGCUUGUACCCAACGCUUCAAAGGGGUUGUCAAUCCCUUCAAGAUUGUUUGCAAAGUGAGAUCUGAAGGCGGAAAGUGCAACGAAGUAAAAAGUGUAAGGCUGAAAAUAUGAUGUGGAUUAGACCUGGGGGCCAUAGUGUUCACUAGAGGCUUCUCUCAAAAUAGCAAAUGUCACGGUGGGUAAACAAAUUACUGUCGAGCAAUUGAUAGAACCGCGCAAAGUAUUGACGAUAUCUAAGGCAAUGAUCAUACAUAUAGGCAUCACGUCUGAGACAAGUAGACCGAUACUUUAUGCAUCUACUACUAUUACUCCACACAUCGACCGCUAUCCAGCAUGCAUCUAGUGUAUUGAGUUCAUGACGAACAGAGUAACGCCUUAAGCAAGAUGACAUGAUGUAGAGGGAUAAUCUCAAACCAAUGAUGAAAAUCCCAUCUUUUUACCCUUGAUGGCAACAACACGAUGAGUGCCUCGCUACCCCUUCUGUCACUGGGUGAGGUCACGACACGGUAUGAACCCAAAACCAAGCACUUCUCCCAUUGCAAGAAUCAUAGAUCUAGUUGGCCAAACAAAACCCACAAUUCGAAGAGAAUUACAAGGAUAUGAAAUCAUGCAUAAGAGAGAUCAGGAGAAACUCAAAUAAGAUUCAUAGAUAAUCUGAUCAUAAAUCCACAAUUCAUCAGAUCUUGACAAACACACCGCAAAAGAAGAUUACAUCGGAUAGAUCUCCAUGAAGAUCAUGGAGAACUUUGUAUUGAAGAUCCAAGAGAGAGAAGAAGCCAUCUAGAUACUAACUAUGGACUCGUAGGUCUAUGGUGAACUACUCACACAUCAUCGGAGAGGUCAUGGUGUUUAUGAAGAAGCCCUCCGUGUCCGAAUCCCCCCUCUGGCAGGGCACCGGAACGUGCCGCAGAUGGGAUCUUGCGGAGACAAAAGCUUGCGACGACGGAAAAGUGAUUUCGAUGAUCUCCUGAUUUUUUGGGAUUUUUAGGGAAUAUAUAGGCGCAACCCCUAGGGCAGAGGGCGCCCAGGGGGACCACAAGCCUGUGGGCCGCGACCUACCCCCCUGGCCGUGGGGUGGGGGCUUGUGGGGCCCCUGAGGCUCCCGUGCCUUGGCUCCCAAGCUUCCUGAUCUUCUUCCGUUACAAAAAAAUCUUUUCUGGGAUUUUAUUCCGUUUGGACUCCGUUUCAAAAUCUCCUCUGAAAUGGGUCAAAAACAUGGAAAAAACAGGAACUGGCACUGGGCACUGAGCCAAUAAGUUAGUCCCAAAAAAUAUAUAAAAGGCAUGCAGAACAUCCAAAGUUUGACAAGAAAAUAGCAUGAACGAUCAAAAAUAUAGAUACGUUGGAGACAUAUAAGGUAUCUCCAAAAGUGUCUGUUGGGUUGGUACGAAUCAAGAGCGGGAUUUGUGAUUCCGUGACAGCAGACCUUCCCCGGCAACGACACCAGAAGAAUGCUGCUAGCACUCUCCGGCAAUCGAAACUAGAAGAAUGUUGUUGACGGUCCACCAGCGUGUGGGAUCGCAGCAGUUUUCGAGGGUAGAGUAUUCGACCCAAAUUUGUUGUAUGCCUAUAGGAGGUGAGAGGAUACUCUCAAGUAUUAGCAGCUGAAUGUGUCAGAUUCAACCACACCUGAAAGAUUAGUAUCUGCAAGCAAAGUAGUAACAGCGAAGUAGUAUGAUAACAAUGGUGUCAGAAACGAUCUAUUGACGGCAGACUAUUUCUAACGAGUGUAUCAAUGGCGCCAAGUUGCCCGUUGACGGAAAUUGUCUAUUCCCGUCAACGACCAGUGUACCAAAAUUGUAGCAGGUAGCAGGAGUGUAAUGAGUAAUGGCAGCGGCAAGGAACAUCAGUAGUGACAGCAGUAGCAAGUAGCAACAGUAGCAAGCAACAGUAGCAGCAGAGCAAGACAAGUAACAACAGCAGAGCAAGACAAGUAACAGCAGCAGAGCAAGACAAGUAACAGCAGCAGUAGGACAAACUCGUAGGCAAUGGGUUGAUGAUUUGUUUGGAUGAUAUUCAUCAUGCAACAGUUAUAACACAGAUAGAUAUGUGGCUAGCUCCCGUUCGUCAAUGUGAUGUAGGCAUGCAUUCCGUGUGUCGUCAUACGUGCUUAGGGAAAUGAACUUGCAUGACAUCUAUUGUCCAUCCCUCCCGAGGCAGCGGGGUCCAAAAGGAAACUUUGGGAUAUUAAGGUUCUCCUUUUAAUAAAGAACUGGACCAACGCAUAAGCACUUGGUGAACACAUGAACUCCUCAAACUAUGGUCAUCACCGGGAGUGGUUCCGGUUAUUGUCACUCCGGGGUUGCCGGAUCAUAACACAAAGUAGGUAACUACAACUUGCAAGAUCGGAUCUAAAACACACAUAUAUUGGUGACAACAUAAUAAUUUCAGAUCUGAAAUCAUGGCACUCGGGUCCUAGUGACAAGCAGUAAGCAUGGCAAAGUAGUAGCAACAUCAAUCUCAGAACAUAGUGGAUACUUGGGAUCAAUCCACGUCAAAACUAACUCGAUUACAUGAUAGAUCUCAUAUUACUCAUCACCGCACAACGAGCCUACGAAUAGAUUACUCACGAACGACGAAGAGCUUAAUGGAAUUGGAGAGGGAAGAAGGUUGAUGAUGACGAUGGCGACGAUUUCCCCUCUCUGGAGCCCAAAACGGACUCCAGAUCUGCCCUCCAGAUGAAGAACAGGUUGUGGCGGCGCUUCCGUAUCGCAAACGGAACGAAAUCUUCUCUCUUUAUUUUUUCUGGGACGAAACUGAACUUAUAGAGCUGAGAUUGGGGGCGGCAGAGCCACAUGGCCCCCACAAGCUUGCCAUCCGCCACCAGGGGGGCGGCGGCUACAGGGCUUGUGGCUCAUUGGCCCACCCCCUCAGGUGGAUCUUUGCGCAGGUAUUUUUCAUAUUUUCCAAAAACAUUCCCCGUAAAUUUUCAGGACAUUCUGAGAACUUUGAUUUCUGCACAAAAAACAACACCAAGGCAAUUCUGCUGAAAACAACAUCAGUCCAGGUUAGUUCCAUUCAAAUCAUGCACAUUAGAGUCCAAAACAAGGGCACAAGAGUUUGGAAAAGUAGAUACGAUGGAGACGUAUCAACUCCCCCAAGCUUAAAACCUUGCUUGCCCUCAAGCAACUCAGUUGACAAACUGAGAGAGAAAGAAAAACUUUGACAAACUCUGUUUGAUCUUGUUGUUGCAACUAUGUCUAACUCAUAACCAGAAUUUCAGAAAGAUCACAAGUUAACCACAUAAGCAAGUGACACAAAGGUCUCACGGUAAACUAAUAUCAAUGGCAUAAUCAGCUAACGAGCAAAUAAUAAUGAGUUUCAAAUACCAACACUUCAAUCAAAACAAGCAGUAAGCAAUAUGAAUAGGUGGUAUCUCGCUAGCUCUUUCUGAGACCGCAAAACAUAAAUGCAGAGCACUUUCAAAGAUCAAGGGCUGACUAAACAUUGUAAUUCAUAGCAAUGAACAUCCAAUCAUAGUCAUACUCAAUAUCAGUCAAAAUAAAAACAUAAAAAUGACAGAGGUGCUCUCUAAUUGGUGCUUAUUUAAGAAGAGGAUGACUCGACAGGAAAAUAAAUAGACAAGCCCUUCACAGAGGGAAGAAUUCAUUUGCAGAGGUGCCAGAGCUCAAGCUUUGAAAACAGAGAUAAUAAUUUUGGGUGGCAUGCUUUCAUUGUCAAUGCAAUGACCAAGAGUUCUCAAUAUCUUCCAUGCUACUCAUGCUAUAGGCGGUUCCCAAACAGAAAAGUAAAGUUUUAACUCCCCCACCACCAAUCAAUCACACUCCACGGCUAGCCGAAUCCUCGGGUACCGUCCAUACUAACAUCAAUCCGGGGGAGUCUUGUUUUAAAGUUAUGUUUUCGAUUUAAGCGUGGAACUGGGCAUUCCAAUUACCGCCCCCUUUCUCGUGAAUGACAGUGAAUAAACACAUGUCGAGGAUAACACUCCUAGCAUGGAAGAUACCAAUAGCCCCCUGUCACCACAUGAGCGGUUCGGGCAUGCAAAACAGAUUAUUUCUUGAAGGUUUAGAGAGUGGCACAUGCAAAUUUACUUGGAACGGCAGGUAGAUACCGCAAAUAGGUAGGUAUGGUGGACUCUCAUGGAAAAAGUUUUGGGUUUAUGGAAGUGGAUGCACAAGCAGUAUUCCGCUUAGUACAAGUGAAGGCUAGCAAAAGACUGGGAAGCGACCAACUAGAGAGCUCAACAGUCAUCAAGAUUCAAUGAGUUUGACUAACAUUGAAUGAAAGCAUGAACAUGAUAUAAGUCACCAUGAACAUGAACAUCAUAGAGGCUAUGUUGAUUUUGUUUCAACUACAUGCAUGAACAUGUGCCAAGUCAAGCCACUUGAAUCAUUCAAAGGAGAAUACCAUCCUAUCAUACUACAUCAUAGUCAUCUCAAAAUCUAUAUUGGCAUUCAAGACAAACCAUUAUAAGCUCUCAGCUAAAUAAGCAUGGCAUCAGAAACUAUGAUCUCUAAUUUGUCAUUGCGAACAUGGUUCUCCCACAACAAAGCUGAAUCUGGGUCGACAAGCUAGUCAUAUUUACAAAAAAAAUUGAUAGAGUUCAUACCAGCUUUUCAGUCUCAGUCACUUCAUCAUAUAUCAUCAUUAUUGCCUUUCACUUGCACGAUCGAACGAUGUGAACAAUAAUAAGAGUGCUCGUGCAUUGGACUAAGCUGAAUCUGCAGGCAAACACAAAGGAGAAGACAAAGUAAUAUGGCUCUUUCAAAGCUAAACAGGUAUGCAUGCAAGAACCACUAAACAUUGUAAACAAUAUCUUCUACCUUGACCCAAAGAAAAAGAAAACUAUUUACACGGGAAAGCUCCCAAGAAGCAAAAGAAGAAAUAAAAAUCUUUUUGGGUUUUCUUGAAAGGACACAAAACAAGAAAACGAAAAUAAACUAGCAUGGAUAAUAAAGUGGCAAAGUGUAAACACCGGCUAACAAAGUGAAAGCAUAAGCAUGAAUAUAAAGUCGGUGAGAAACACGUACUCCCCCAAGCUUAGGCUUUUGGCCUAGCUUGGUCUACUCCCAAGGAUGGUCCUGGCGAAACCCAAAAUCAUAAUGGGUGUUAUACGAGAGUGCUGCAGCUACUGCCUGAAUAGCUGCCUCACGAAGUCGAGCAGCCGUCGCCUCCCUCUCAUACUCCUCUACCUCUCCCAUGGUUAUGUAGUAUCUUCGUUUACCUGAAAGUCAAAGAAAGCAGGAGCAGGAAGGGUAAUAUGGAAAACACGCUGUCGGUUAAAUAUCAAGCGGUAUAGGAGGGAUCCAUGAUCUCUCUCAAGGAACCGGUAGCGUGCUAGAGCGACACGAUCAAGGUAGGCUGUACGGAGAGGAGGGUCUUCUGAACGGAUGGAUACUCCAAGAAAAUUUGCUAAGCAUGUAGCAUAAACUCCACCAAAGAAAUCCCCCUCACUGGCAUUAUUAUUCAGCCUCCUUGCUAUUAUAGCUCCCAUAUUGAAGCUCCUGUCACCUGUUACUGCGCUCUUAAGGAUACUAAGGUCGGAAGCGCAUAGGUGACAAUGUGCACCCUUGCCGUUAAUGCACCUACCUAUGAAGAGGGCAAAGUAGUGCAAGGCAGGGAAAUGGAUGCUUCCUAUGGUGGCUUGCGUGAUAUCUCUGGUUUCUCCAACAGUUAUACUAGAGACAAAAUCUCUGACCGAAGACUUAGAAGGAUCAUUAAUACUACCCCCAUCGGGUAUCUUGCAAAUCCUAUUGAAAUCCUCCAAAUCCAUGGCGUAGGAUUUAUCGUACAGAUCAAACAGUAUGGAUGAGUCACGACCAACUGAAAAUUUAAAUCUAUGCACGAAAGAGGCAGUGGGCAUAGCAUAUUGUUCACAUUUGUUUGAGAGGAAUUCUUCUAACCCGGCAUUGCGGACAAGUGUAUCAAACUCAUCCUUGAAACCUGCUUCGAUCAUGAACUCAUUGAAAGGCCAUUCACAUGGUUGUACCGGUGCGUCCCUUAGUUGAAAAGGUUCGGGCUCCCAAAAAGAAAGACAGGGACCCUUCUUACUUGAGGAACCACCAUGAAACUUCCUCCUGAACAUAACUUCCUUUUGCUGAAAUUUUUGAAGUUCAAGAGAAAAGUGAAUGAAGGCCAACCACACCUUGUAGCAAGUACUCCUACUAGUGCCUAGAGGCCGUAUCACGCGGUAAAACUACUUGGGACCAGCUAAAUCAACAUUUCUAGCUCAAGAACAGGGUCACCAAGGUAGCAAGAAUACGUGAAGGAUAAAGCACUAGAGCAAAAACUAAUUGGACCAAUGGAGGAGUCACUUACCAAGGAGUAAUUUCCCCAAAACGGUUCGGAGAAUGGUGCUUUGAGCAAGGAGAUCGAAAAUCACAGCCAAAUGAGCAAGAACACGGGUUUGAGCUGUGAAACGAUUUUUUCUGGAGGUGGAAGAAGAGGAUGAGAGAUGGAAUGAGUGGAGGGGGUCCUUGUGGGCCCCACAAGCUUGCUAGCCGCCACCAAGGGGGGGGGGUGGCGGUGGCAGGGCUUGUGGCCCACUGGUCUGGCCCCCAGGCCAGCUCUCAGGCCCAGUAAUUUUCAAAUAUUCGAUAAAAAAUCAUACUAAAUUUUCAGGACCAUCGGAGAACUUUUAUUUUCGAGGUAUUUUUCUCCGGGACGCUAAAACAGAAAACAGGAAAAACUAAACUAAAUCCAUCAUUUUUCUUCUAAGCAACAGAAAAUGAAAGCUCAAAACAGAGGUAUGUGACUCUUUGAUUCAUCCAUUUCAUGGUCAUCGAAAGAAAUCCGUCAAUGGGGUUGAUCAAGUCCUCAUGACAAAACCUUCUCGAAUCGCAAGAGAGAACGGAGAAUUUUCGACUAGCCACUAAGUCAACUCAAUGGGGAUAUGUAUCUCCCCAACAAGCAAAUCAUACUUCAUCUUGACACGAGGAAUAGGGCAUUCAAAGCUCCCAAUAAGAAUCGAUGAAGUCUUUUCGAUAGCAUUGAUGCAAUGUACUUGAUAUCGUUUCUUCGGAAAGUGCACUGUGUGCUCAUUACCGUUGACAUGGAAAGUGACAUUGCCUUUGUUGCAAUCUAUAACAGCCCCUGCAGUGUUUAAAAAGGGUCUUCCGAGGAUGACAGCCAUGGCAUCGUCCUCGGGAAUAUCCAAGAUAAGAAAGUCUGUUAAGAUAGUGGUGUUAGCAACCACAACAGGCAUAUCCUCGCAAAUACCGAUAGGUAAAGCAGUUGAUUUGUCGUCCAUUUGCAAAGAAAUUUCAGUAGGUGUCAACUUAUCCAAUUCAAGUCUAUGAUAAAGAGAGAGCGGCAUAACACUAACACCGGCUCCAAGGUCACAUAAGGCAGUUCUUACGUAGUUUCCUUUAAUGGAGCAAGGUAUAGUGGGCACUCCGGGAUCACCAAGUUUCUUAGGAGUUCCACCUUUGAAAGUGUAAUUGGCAAGCAUGGUGGAGAGCUCAAGAUCUGGUAUCUUCUGUUUAUUAGUCACGAUAUCUUUCAUGUACUUGGCAUACGGAGACAUCUUGAGCAUAUCAGUUAACCGCAUCUGCAGAAAGAUGGGUCUUAUCAUCUGAACGAAGCGCUCAAAAUCCUCAUCAUCCUUUUUCUUGGAUGGCUUAGGACGAAAGGGCAUAGAUCUCUGAACCCAUCGCUCCCUUUCUUUACCAUGCUUCCUAGCAGUGAGGUCAUUCUUAUCGUAUCUCUUAGGUUGUGGGUUAUCAGGAUUAACCGUAGGUUCAAUCUCCACAUCCUCAUCAUUGCUAGGUUGAGCAUUAUUAUGAACAUCACUGUCCAUAUUGUCACCAGGUUCAUGUUCAUCACCAGAUUGUGUUUCUGCAUCAGACGCAGAAAUAUCAUUAGGUUCUUCAGGUGUGACAGUAUUUGGUGAACUGGCAUGUAGGUUUCUAUCAUCCUUCUUCUUCUCCUUAGGAUGACUGGGUGUAUCAGCAUUGAUUCCUUGAGAAUCUUGAUCAGUUCUCUUAGGAUGACCUUCAGGAUACAAAGGUUCUUGAGUCAUUUUGCCUCCUCUAGUAAUGACUCUGACAGAGUUGUCAUUUAAUUCAUUGAGCAGGUCAUUCUGAGCUUUAAGUACUUGUUCUACCUGAGUAGUAAUCAUAGAGGCAUGUUUACUCAGAAGCUUCAGAUCAUUGACAUUUCUGUCUACACAAGCACUUAAAUGGCUAAGCAUACGAGUACUUUGUUCCAAGUGUCUGCUAACAUAAUCAUUGAAACUCUGUUGUUUGGCAACAAAGUUGUCAAAUUCAUGAAAGCAUAGGCUAGCAGGUUUGUCGAAGGGAAUAUCACUCUCAUCAAACCUACGCAGAGAAUUCACUUCUACUACUUGUAUCGGGUUAUCGAGACCAUGGAUCUCUUCGAUAGGUGGUAGAUUUUUGACAUCUUCAGAUCUAAUGCCUUUCUCUUGCAUAGAUUUCUUGGCUUCUUGCAUAUCUUCGGGACCGAGGAAUAGAAUACCUCUUUUCUUUGGAGUUGGCUUAGGAGGUGGUUCGGGAAUAGUCCAAGCAUUAUCGUUGAUCAAGAUGUUAUUUAGUAGGGUCUCAACUUGUUCUACAGUUCGUUCCCUAAAAACACAACCGGCACAACUAUCUAGGUGGUCUCUAGAGGCAUCGAUAAGUCCGUUAUAGAAGAUAUCAAGUAUCUCGUUCUUCUUAAGAGGGUGAUCAGGCAAAGCAUUCUGUAGCUGGAUGAGCCUCCCCCAAGCUUGUGGGAGACUCUCUUCUUUGAGUUGAGCAAAGUUGUAUAUUUCCUGCAAGGCAGCUUGCUUCUUAUGGGCAGGGAAAUAUUUCUCACAGAAGUAAUAGACCAUAUCCUGGGGACUACUCACACAUCCAGGGGCAAGAGAGGUGAACCAGACUUUAGCGUCAUCCUUUAGAGAGAAAGGAAACAACUUAAGGAUAUAGUAGUGGCGGAUCUUCUCCUCAUUAGUGAAAAGGGUGGCUAUAUCGUGUAGUUUGGCAAGAUGGGCUACGACCGUCUCAGACUCAUAACCGUGAAAAGGAUCAGAUUCGACUAGAGAGAUUAUCUCAGGAUCGACACAAAAUUCAUAAUCCUUAUCGGUGAUAAAGAUAGGUGAAGUGGCAAACUUCGGGUCGUAUUUGAUCCUAGCUUUCAGAGAUUUUUCCUUCCACUUGAGAAGUAAUUUCUCAGCGUCAGAGGCAUCCUUACACGCAAGAAAAUCCUCAGCUAUCUCUCCCUCCAUAACGUAACCCUCAGGUAUAUCAGGCAAUUCAUAUCUAGGAGAGCUAGAUCUAGCAGGAGCAAAAGCAGGUUCUAUCUCAAUAGUAUCGGCAGUUUCGGAAACAUCACGAGCAUUGGCAGUAACUCUAGCAAUAUGAGCAUCUAGGAAUACUCCUAGUGGAACAUCAGGCAAAGUAGUAUCUCUAGCAGUAUCGAGCAUAGCAUCAUCAGGCAAAAUAGCACCUCUAGCAUCAUCAGGCAAAGCAGUAUCAGGCAUAGCAUCUCUAGCAGUAUCAUGCAUAGCAUCUCUAGCAGUAUUAGGCAAAGCAUCAUAAGCAUCAUCAAGCACAGGCGACAUAUCAAGAUUUCUAGCAGGAGUUGAUGUCGCAAACUUACUCAUAACUGAAGGUGAAUCAAGUGCAGAGCUAGAUGGCAGUUCCUUACCUCCCCUCAUAGUUGAGGGCAAGACUUUGGUUUUUGGAUCCUUCAGAUUCUUCAUAGUGGUCAGCAGAUAUAAAUCCCAAGUAACUCAGAGAAUAUAGCAAUACCUCCCCGGCAACGGCGCCAAAAAAAUGUUGAUUCGUGACAGCAGACCUUCCCCUGCAACGACACCAGAAGAAUGCUCCUAGCACUCUCCGGCAAUCGAAACUAGAAGAGUGUUGUUGACGGCCCACAAACGCGUGGGAUCACAGCAGUUUUCGAGGGUAGAGUAUUCGAGCCAAAUUUGUUGGUAAGCCUAUAGGAGGUGAGAGGAUACUCUCAAGUAUUAGCAGCUGAAUGUGUUAGAUUCAACCACACCUGAAAGAUUAGUAUCUGCAAGCAUAGUAGUAACAGCGAAGUAGUAUGAUAACAACGGUGUCAGAAACGAUCUGUUGACGGCAGACUAUUCCUAACGAUUGUAUCAAUGGCGCCAAGUUGCCCGUUGACGGAAAUUGUCUGUUCCCGUCAACGACCAGCGUACCAAAAUUGUAGCAGGUAGCAGGAGUGUAACGAGUAAUAGUAGGGGCAAGGAACAACAGUAGUGACAACAGUAGAAAGUAGCAACAGUAGCAAGCAACAGUAGCAGCAGAGCAAGACAAGUAACAACAGCAGAGCAAGACAAGUAACAGCAGCAGAGCAAGACAAGUAAUAGCAGCAGUAGGACAAACUCGUAGGCAAUGGGUCGGUGAUUUGUUUCGAUGAUAUUCAUCAUGCAACAGUUAUAACACAAAGAGAUAUGUGGCAACUCCCGUUCGUCAAUGUGAUGUAGGCAUGCAUUCCGUGUGUCGUCAUACGUGCUUAGGGAAAAGAACUUGCAUGACAUCUAUUGUCCAUCCCUCCCGUGGCAGCGGGGUCCAAAAGGAAACUACAGGAUAUUAAGGUUCUCCUUUUAAUAAAGAACUGGACCAACGCAUUAGCACUUGGUGAACACAUGAACUCCUCAAGCUAUGGUCAUCACCGGGAGUGGUUCCGGUUAUUGUCACUCCGGUGUUGCCGGAUCAUAACACAUAGUAGGUAACUACAACUUGCAAGAUCUGAUCUAGAACACACAUAUAUUGGUGACAACAUAAUAAUUUCGGAUCUGAAAUCAUGGCACUCGGGCCCUAAUGACAGGCAUUAAGCAUGGCAAAGUAGUAGCAACAUCAAUCUCAGAACAUUCUGGAUACUAGGGAUAAAUCCCCGUCAAAACUAACUCGAUUACAUGAUAGAUCUCAUCCUACUCAUCACCGCCCAACGAGCCUACGAAUAGAUUACUCACGAACGACGAAGAGCUUCAUGGAAUUGGAGAGGGAAGAAGGUUGACGAUGACGAUGGCGACGAUUUCCCCUCUCCGGAGCACAAAACGGACUCCAGAUCUACCCUCCAGAUGAAGAACAGGUUGUGGCGGCGCCUCCGUAUCGCAAACGCGACGAAAUCUUCUCUCUUGAUUUUUUCUGGUAUGAAAGUGAACUUAUAGAGGUGAGAUUGGGGGUGGCAGAGCCACGUGGGCCCCACAAGCUUGCCAUCCGCCACCAGGGGUGUGGCUGCUACAUGGCUUGUGGCCCACUGGCCCACCCCCUCAGGUGGAUCUUUGCGCAGGUAUUUUUCAUAUUUUCCAAAAAAAAUUCCCUGUAAAUUUUCAGGACGUUCCGAGAACUUUGAUUUCUGCACAAAAAACAACACCAAGGCAAUUCUGCUGAAAACAGCGUCAGUCCAGGUUAGUUCCAUUCAAAUCAUGCAAAUUAGAGUCGAAAACAAGGGAAAAAGAGUUUGGAAAAGUCGAUACGAUGGAGACGUAUCAAUUUGUCACUUCGUGUGAGGGAGAUGUACCUCUAGGCCCACUCGGUAGAACAUCAUCAUGAGCUCAAUGUGACUAAGGAGUUAGUCAUAGGAUGACGUGCUACGGAACGAGUAAAGAGACUUACCGGUAACGAGAUUGAACAAGGUAUAGGUAUACCGAUGAUCGAAUCUCGAGCAAGUUCUAUACCGACAGACAAAGGGAAUUUUAUACGGGAUUGAUUGAAUCCUUGACAUCGUGGUUCAUCCGAUGAGAUCAUCGUGGAACAUGUGGGAGCCACCAUGGGUAUCCAGACUCUGCUGAUGGUUAUUGGCCGGAGAGAUGUCUCGGUCAUGUCUGCAUGCCUCCCGAAUCCGUAGGGUCUACACACUUAAGGUUCGAUGACGCUAGGGUUAUAGGGAAUUGUUAUACUAGGUUAUACUAGGGUGAUCCCGGACGUCACGAGGAGCUCCGGAAUGGUCCAGAGGUAAAGAUUGAUAUAUAGGAUGGAUGGGUUUGGACGCCAGAAAUGUUUCAGGCACCACCGGCAAAGUACCGGGACCACCGGAAGGUUUCCGGAGGCCCACCGGGAGAGGCCACCAGCCCCAGGAGGCUAUAUGGACCAAGUGUGAGAGGGAACCAGCCCCUGGAUGGGCUAGUGCGCCCCCACACCUGGCCCAUGCCGCCUAAGAGGGGGAAGGGGGGGGGACCCUAGCGCAGGUGGGCCUAAGGCCCACCAGGGAGUGCACCACCCCCUCCUCCCCUCCUGGCCGCCACCCCUCCCCCCAUCUAGGGCUGCCGCCCCCCCUCAAGGGGGAAACCCUAAAGAGCGCGCCACGCUCCCUUCCCCCUAUAUAUAGCGGGGGGUUUGGCCGUUGGAGAUACGGGUUUUCCAUCUCUCUCUCGGCGCAGCCCUGCUCUUCUUCUUCCUCCUCUCCCACGAUGCUUGGAGAAGCCCUACCGGAAGACCUCGUCUCUCCAUCGACACCACGCCGUCGUGCUGCCGGAGAUAUUCCCCUACCUCUCCCUCCUCCUUGCUGGUUCAAGGUGCGGGAGACGUCACCGGGCUGCACGUGUGUUGAAUGCGGAGGUGUCGUGGUUCGGCACUAGAUCGGAAUCACACCGUGAUCUGAAUCGCCGGGAGUACGACUCCAUCAACCGCGUUCUAGCAACGCUUCCGCUUAGCGAUCUUCAAAGGUAUGAAGAUGCACUCUCCCCUCUUUCAUUGCUGGUCUCUCCAUAGGAAGAGCUGAAUAUGGCGUAGGAAAAUUUUGAAUAUAUGCUACGUAGCCCAACAAAAGGAGUGAUAGACCUCAAUGCAAACACCUAUUUCAUAAGAUAACUUCCCUAGACAUGAUAUGACACUAAACUUGACUAUAAAAGGUAAAUGAUAAAAAUAAAGAUACCGGGCACUCCCCCAAGCUUGGAACAAGCUAAGGGAAUGCCAUUACCCAUGAAGAUUUCACUCUUCAUCCUUGUUCUUGUUCCCCAGGUAAUCGUUAGCGAAACGCUUCCAUGGAAGAGGCCCUCCCUCCACACACGAUUCUUCAGUCUCCAAGAUCCUGCUUUCGGCAGAUAAGCCUAUGCGCAAAAACUUAAGUUCAUACUCACAGUUCUGGUUUUGAAGGUCAUAGAUGUGCCCUUGAAGCUCGAACACUUUGGUUUCUAGUGCAGAUAUGAUUGAUCACACUUCCUUCAUCUCCUCCUCAUGUUCCCUCUUCAGCUCGACGAUGAUGUCGUAGUUGGCCUCGACACCAUGCUCGAUCAUCAACUUGUACUUGAAGACUUCUUGCUCCACUUCUUCCAGCCUGGCCCUGGUGCUCCCCUCCUUGACAGGUCCCUUCAAAACUUCUUUGUGGAGGACAGCAUCCUCCGCCCAAAGUGUUUGAGGGUGUCUCUUUACCUCUGCGAGGUAAGGGUUGAUGACGUUGGCGAGGAACUUGUCCUUGGGAGAUUUUGGGGAAGCCAUGGCACCUAGGUUUGCUGAACGUUCUCCUGGCACAAACAGAUCGAAAAGAAAAUGCAUGGAAUUGCAAGAUACAAAGCCGGGACGAUCUGGGAAAAUAUAUAGCAAAAAUUUCUACACAAAAAGGAAGGUAACAAGCCAAAGUAGAGUCGGAGACGGACUCCAGGUGGUCCAGGCGGCCUCCUGGCGCGACCAGGAGGUAGCCCGCGCCCACAGGUCGCCUGGAGCACCUGGGGCUCCUCUCCGGUUCUGCUUCGGUUGGGAUUUUUCCAAAUUUUGCAAAAACACAUAAUUCAGAACUUUUAUUGAUGUUCGCGAAGUUUCCUUACCGUAUCUCAUACCUAUUCUUAUUCUUCUUCUGCCGGUGUCUGAUACAGUGUUGCAAUAUGUUCUUCAUGAGUAGCUACCUGUAUCUCAUCCACCUCUACAUUGAUGGGGUCUCCAGCCAUGUAAUGCUUGAGUCUUUGCCCAUUCACAACAUGUGGUUUUGUGCCUUAAAAAUUAUUAAUCUUGAUUGCACCAGAAUGAUAGACUUCUUCGAUAUGGUACGGUCCUUCCCACUUGGAAAGUAAUUUACCUGGAGAAAACCUGAAACGAGAUCUAUACAACAAAACUUUAUCACCAACAUUAAAUUCACGUUUCAAAAUUCUAUUGUCAUGCCACUUCUUUACCUUUUCUUGGAACAUUUUUGCGCUCUCGUAAGCUUCACUUAUCCACUCAUCUAGAGAAGUCAAGUUCAUGAGACGCUUUUCACCAGCAAGCUUUGGGUCAACAUUAAGCUGUCUAACAUCCCAAAAAGCUUUGUGCUCUAACUCUAAAGGUAGAUGGAAUGCCUUGUCAUAGACCAUCUUGUAUGGAGACAUCCCCAUGGGAUUUUCGUAAGCAGUUCUAUAUGCCCACAAGGCAUCUCCUAGCUUAUUGGACGAGUCCUUCCUAGAACUGUUCACUGUCUUUUGCAAGAUCAACUUGAUCUCUCUAUUUGUGAGCUCAACUUGCCCACUUGUUUGAGGGUGGUAAGGUGAAGCAAUUCUAUGAUUAACAUCAUACUUGGCUAGAGCUUUUCUAAAAGCACCGUGUGUAAAAUGUGAUCCUCCGUCGGUCAUGAGGUACCUAGGUACACCAAACCUAGGGAAGAUUACAUCCUUGAGCAUUUUCAAAGAUGUCUUGUUAUCAAUACUUUCAGCGGGGAUUGCUUCAACCCACUUGGUCACAUAAUCAAUAGCUACUAAGAUGUGAGAGUACUUGUGUGAAGGAGGGAAAUGACCAUAAAAUCAAAACCCCAACAAUCAAAAGCCUCAAUGUCUAGAGAAUAAUUCAUAUGCAUCUCAUUUCUCCUACUAAUAUUACCAACUCUCUUGCACUUAUCACAAGAUAAAACAUAAUUUCUAGCAUCUUUAAAGAGAGUAGGCCAAUAAAAACCUGAUUGGAGAACCUUGUGUGCGGUCCUCUCACCAGCAUGAUGUCCUCCAUAAGGACUGCUAUGACAUUGUCUCAAGAUAUCCUUCUGCUCAUGCUCCGGUAUGCAUCUCCUCAAGAUUCCAUCUGCACCUUAUCUAAAAAGAUGUGGGUCAUCCCAAAAGUAAUACCUCAAAUCGUGGAAGAACUUCUUCCUCUGCUGGAAUGUUAAACCUGGAGCAAAAACUUUGCAACAAUAAAGUUAGCAUAAUCUGCAUACCAUGGAUCGGAAUUAGAUUGCACCUGCAAAACAGCCAACUUUUCAUCAGGAAAACUAUUGUUGACCGGAAUAGGGUCAUGUGGUAUGUCCUCCAUCAUGGAAAGGUUGUCUGCUACAAGGUUGUAUGCUCCCUUCCUAUCAACAAUCUGCAAAUCAAAUUCUUGAAGAAGAAGGACCCAUCCGAUAAGCCUUGUUUUCACAUCCUUUUUUUCCAUUAGAUACUUAAUAGCAGCAUGAUCAGUAUGAAUGAUGACUUUUGAAUCAACAAUGUAAGGCCUAAACUUAUCAUAAGCAAACACUACCGCUAAAAAUUCUUUCUGAGUAGUAUUGUAAUUAUUUUGAGCACAAUCAAGGGUUUUGCUAGCAUAAUGUAUAACAUUCAAUUUCUUAUCAACCGUUUGUCCUAACACAGCUCCAACAGGAAAAUCACUAGCAUCACACAUGAUUUCAAAAGGCAAACUCCAAUCAGGUGGUUGAACUAUAGGGCGGUUAUCAAGGCUUUCUUAAUAACUUCGAAGGCUUCCUAACAAUCUUCAUCAAACACAAAAGGAGUAUCCUUCUGGAGAAGAUUAGUGAGGGGUUUCGAAGUCUUAUAAAAAUCUUUAAUAAAUAUUCUAUAGAAACCAGCAUGACCAAGGAAACUACGAAUAUCUCUAAUGUCCUUUGGAUAAGGCAUCCUCUCGAUUGCUUCGACUUUUGCCCUGUCCACCUCGAUUCCCUUUUCAGAAAUCUUGUGGCCAAGAACAAUCGCCUCAUUGAACAUGAAGUGACACUUCUCCUAGUUGGGUACCAAGUUUGUCUCCUC